GCAGCACCUUCCAUGGCAGAAACAUGAACAUGAUUUAGGAUAUACCCAUAAACAUACAGACAUUAAAACCAGGGAAGAUCCACUGAUGAUGAAUCCCAUCUCUCUGCUAAGGAAAGCCUAUGCAGAAGUAUGCUUUGUGGUGUUUCAUUCAGAAUAACAUUCUUUCUUUCUUUCUCUCUUUUUUUUUGAAGAACUCCUUAGCAUCUACUUUUUGUUUUAUAUUGCACAAAAAUUUAAUGAUGAGUUUAACUCAAUUACAGAAUAGAUUUUGUUGCUGCUUUCGGAGAAAAAUGUACUAUGUUGUGUCUAACUUAAAUAUCCUCCUUCAUGUUUGUUAACUAUACUACUAUUAAGUCAUGGAAAGAUAGCAUAAGAAUAAUUUUUAUCUUCUUUUUUUCCAUGAAUUAAGGGAAGGUGCCUUAUGUGACAGGAAUAGGAUACUUGAAGGAGAAAAUGGUAAAAUAGCAAGGUUUAACUGCCUUCAUUAUUUGCAUUCCUCCAGUAGUGCCAGUCCUACACUAAAAUCUAGCAGUCCUAGUCUAAAGUCAGACCACAUUGUGCUUUUCACCAUACAAAACUGUAUGCAGAAAUGAUUUCUGUUUUGAAACCAGCACACCAGGCACAACAGCUCUAUGUAGGUAGACUGGGAAGAUAUAAUUAAUAUCUAUGGUUCUGCAUUAUCUUCCCUUCCCUUCCCUUCCCUUCCCUUCCCUUCCCUUCCCUUCCCUUCCCUUCCCUUCCCUUCCCUUCCCUUCCCUUCCCUUCCCUUCCCUUCCUUCCCUUCCCUUCCCUUCCCUUCCCUUCCCUUCCCUUCCCUUCCCCAGUGAAUGCUUCAUAGCAGUGGUGAUUCAAAAGAGUUGCCAUAGUUGGAAUUCUUCUGAUUAAUGAAAAUGUUGGGAACUUGAGGCAUUCCUGACUUUGUAACCGAUAAGCAACUGCUCAUAGGGAAGAGAGGAGGUAAAGAAAACUUUUAAGUACUGCAAAGAUAAAACACAUUUGAAUCUACUGAAAAUGAUCUCUUCAUUUAUCCACUGGAGUACAUGAUAUGGUUUGAUGUCUGUACUGUAUCCUCAUGAUGAUCUGUCACAAUUAAAGUGAUGUCUGCUGGAAUAUCAGCAGGUUUGAUGAACUUCUCUCUGCAUGGAUAGACAGUUCUUGCAUUUGAAGUGAGAUGAUCUCUGAAUUAGAAGCAAGUAUAGAAAUUGAACUGAAACAAAAGUUUUAUAGUUAAUAGGAAAAUGUAGUGAUGUUAUAUGUUGUCAGCAUAAUAAUCUGUAUAACAAGAGAAUCAUUUUCACAUUGAUUACAUUGUUAUCUUGUGUCUCUAAUGAAGAUUUCUGAUUCCUCAUAAUUGGUUUAUGGAGCGCGUAGUCUCAAAAAUCUUAAGUCAAUUUGGCCAACAGCAUUUUAUUUUUAGUUCUCUUUAAAGAAGCAAAUUCUGUCAACAAAUGCUUCUUACGCUGUUCUUGCCAUGUUUUCUUUUUAGAUAGACAAAUGAAGUCAUAAUGUUGAGUAAAAAUGGUGUGCCAUUGAAUUUAGAGGAGGUCAGAGCUGAUUAGGACAAAAAGUGCUUCUAUAGGUUAAAUCACAGCACAGUUUGGGUGAUCAACUGCUUGUAAGAGAAUCGGCCCUGAUAGGAAAAGACAGAUAAACCGUUAUAAUAACCCCUGCUUGUGUCUGCAUCUUUGCGACUGCAGUGUGCUACCACAGUUUGUAUGACUAUUUAUGGUUGUACAAAUCCAAAUUCAACUAUUUUUACUUUUGUGAGUAACAGCAUCGUUAUACAGUCGCUCCUAAAUAAUUUUGCUCUGUAGAAUUAUUGGCUCGUCUUUGAUUAAACUGCCUUUAGCUAAAUCUGUGCAAUUACAGUGGAAGAUAAGAGGCUGUUGUCUGAGAACAGCUGAAGUCAAAAUGUAAAGACUUUUAAGCCACACAUAAGGCGCUGAGAAUAGAAUUUGAUCUGCAGAAGUUAUUUUCUCCAGUUGGUGUACAGAAGCGAAAACAAAAAGUCCGGUUUUCAGCUUCAAGGGAGCGUGUAAAAUGUUUGACCCCAAGAACAUCUGAUGUGGAAAAUACGGCAAAAGUACAAAAUGCUUUGUACAAAAUUACAUUUUGCUUUCAAAAGUGUCAAUAAAGUAGCACUGCUGUUGAAUACAGCAGUGAAAACUCAGUAUUUUGUUAUUUCUAGCCUUUUCCAGUGGGCGAGGUCUGCAACUUUGCAUUUCAAACAUACUGACCAACUGUUGGUUAAAAAGCUUGUCCAGGUACUGUACAAAGCUCAGAGGGGGAGCAUUUCUGAAGGAUGUUUUGUCUUCUUUCUCUUGUCAUCCCCACUCCCGCAGCCAGGAAUAUAUAUACAUAUGCAUGUAUAAUGAUUGCUUAUUGUUGUUAAUUCAAAGGACUACUGAAUUGAAAACGCAUUUACUUUUUAUAAUUGCCUCUUGCUCCCAUCCCACAAAAGAGAAGAAUAAAAAGAAAAUGAGAGCUUUAAGCACUUACUCUUCUAGUGUAACACUAGUAUUUCGAACAGUGCAUUUGACCUUUGAGCAAAGGAAAACAGAAUAUUGAUGUAUGUCUAUGCUCAUCUCUUUCACUAGGGUUUGCUUUUGAUCCCAGUGAAUUUAUGAAAAAGCAGUGUAAGUGGACUCCACAUAUUUAAAGUUUACUUGGUAUUUUUAAGCUAGAGAUGAUAUUUCCAUCUUUCUUCUAAAAAAUCAGUCUUUCAAAUUAGAAGAGAUGUGUAUUCUCUGUGUAUUUUUUCCCUGGGGCUUGAUAGCUAGAGCUCAGUUGUGCUUUUUAAAUGAAUUUAGCUAUCAGCUUUCAAUUUUUCAUGCUGUAUUUGAGACUUGUCUGUAUUUUCAAUGAGCGUUACUCUUUCUAGCAAAGAUGUGAUGUUAACAAUGUCUUUGCCAUACUCCUAAUCUAGUUAUGUGUGGCUGGAGUCUCAAUGAAAAAGAAUGAUUUUCUGUUUCUAUUUUUGCUCAGUGCUGAUGGCCUUUUUGAUCUGCUAUUUUAAAGUUUAUCUCAUUUUUAAGCUAAUAGUAGACUUGGAGAUAUAGAUUAAAAUUGCAACCAUGCAAUUACUAUUUUAAUCUUUCUGAAAAAUUCGUUGAUAGCUUUAAAAUGCUUUGUAAAUGCAGCAAUUACUAUAGCACUGAUAAAAGAAUCCACUAAAAUUAUAACAAAGAUAGUAAGUGAACGUUGACGCUCUUGUGCUAUUUACUAUGUUCUGCUGUCCAUCUACAUUAUCAGAUUUUUGUAUAUAAAUAUAAACCCGUGAUUAAUUUUUAUUUAAUACUACAGUAAGUAAGGUAUGGAAGUCAAAGUCUUUCAGUGUAACCAUGCUUCCACUGAUGGUGGAUGAUGUGUUUAAUAGAGCACAAGUUUUAUGAUUUAAUUUAAAUGUAUUCUUCAGAAACAAUUCUGUCAGACCUCAAAAAUAAAUAAGUGUGUAUACAGAACAAGAACUGACAGGAAAAGACAUUUGGAAGGCACUGAAGGAGAAUGAAUCAAUUUGCUGAUGCAUUAUUGCUAUUCUGAUGUUGUUUUUUUUAAUAACUUUCAGGCAAGCAGCUGAUACUGUGGGAAAUUUAUACGGGCAUAUCGCAUUAAGUUUAUUCACAAUGCCCUCAUAAAAUUCAUAAAUAUGAUGAGACUGAAGAAUUAUGCCAUUCAAACAAUACACUGUAUUUUAAUAGACAUGCAAAUAGGAUUAGAGAUGUUCAGGACUGUUACUGCUUGACAUCCGUAAGAUGCUGCAAAUAGUGGGAGCAUCCUUGUCUGUCCUGAGCUUGUCAGGCUGUCUCUUGCUUGGAAUCUUGUUGGAAUGGAUCACACCGCUGUCUUUGAGCUCCUCUGUCUGUGUGAGGAGGGGGGUAUCCCAGAUAUGAAAACCUCAGUUAUCUUUCUCUACAGUAGAUGUAACUUUCCAAUUUGUGUCUCUGCACAGAGGUCUAUCUCUGAGAUAUUGCAAGAGAGCCUGUCCAGAAAUAACGGACUGGAAGGAAAUCCCAUGGAUUUUUGCUACCUCUGAUGGGGAACAAGAAGAAUAGCACAGGCUAAGGUGUUUCUGAGAAAAUUGUAACAUGUUGGCACUUACCCUCUCAGCUGAACAGUUCAGUUUUGAUUGUGAGCCUAUAUCCUGCAGGUGCUUAUGGCGAGCCACAGCAUUUACGAUGCAGUGGCUUUCCUUAGUAAAUAGUGCAAAGUGCAGCAACAAGCUGAGUUGAUGUGUAAAUUAGGCCAGUCUAUGUAAGUUGUGUCCUCUGUUCACAAGGUCUCCGAUAGAAGGCAGUCCAACUGGUAACCCAUCCUGAAGAGCACGGAUUUGAUUCACUCAGUCCUUUAUUGGGGCAGAGAAAGGUUGUGUUAUUCAUUUGUUUUACACUGAAAGGUGUUUAGUUUUGGCAGUAUAGGUGGGGAAAGCAAUUAGAAAGAGGUUGAGAAAAAAACAAGGGAAGAUUUGCAGAUAAUCCUUAUGCUUUUAAACUCCAGAUGCGUAUCCUAAGGUAAUGUUCUUGUAGCCUUGGCUUCCAAACAUUUGUAAGCACUGUCGGAAGUAAAUGUGUCAGUACAACAUGCCUUCUUGAUGAGUCUCACUUUUCUCUGAAAAAAAAUAAAAUGCUUGCAAUCAAGGAACAAGAGAUAAAAAUCAGAACUCUUUCUAACAGGCCAGGCAGUGUCAGAUGAAGAUCUCAUCAACUGACACAGCAAUGCUUUGCUUUAGUUGAAGAGAUGACACUAUACUUCUAUGUACGGAUCCUUUUCUUAGCCUGGAAAAAUGUCUUUCUCUGAUAUAAGUUGUUCGGCUUCAGAUUGUUUAACUUGCAGAUCAUUUUCAGAAGUGAACAAACCUUCAUAUAAGUGUAUUCUAAACUAGGGUUUGGCAGACUCUCCUCCUGGAAUGGAUGUUUGAUGGGAGAUGAUUUUUCAGAGUCAGAGGUUGAUUUAGACAGUAUAGCUAAAUCAUAGGAUUUCUGUUUAAAUACUAAAAAUAACUAAUUUUUCUUUGUCAAGUGCCAAAUAUUCAUGCAGACAUUGUAAAGUAGUGUAAAAUGUAUCCUUCAUCUGGAAAAGGGAAUGAUGUAAUAUAUCACUUUCAGUGCAGUCAGCUUAAACGAGUGGGAUUUCCACAUCGUCAGGAUUGUGACAUUUCAGUUACUUUUGAACUUUCUGACCUUUCCAAAAUAUUACUUUUGAUUACAUUGGUCUUUUAGUUGAUCCGGUCUCAAAGUUUUUCCUCAUGUUUACUUAGUUCUCACAUUCUCCAUUCCUUUUCCCUGACUUCCCACAUCUGGGCCACUAAAAUUCAGUGCUUAUAGUGCAAGAAGUGUUGCUGAAGUUUAUCAGCUGGACCCGAGUGCAUAACGCUGGGCUGAGCUGUUUAUGCUUUUGUUACAGCAAGGCAUACAGUUGGCUGUGAGCUCAGUGCACCUCACUGAAGCCAAGAACUCUUCACUUGCAAAUUUCAAGGUCUUGGCGUGUUGAAGACAGCUUCACACAUCGGUGCUGGCAGCUCCUUCAUGUCUACAGCUACACUGAUAGUUGUGUUGUGAUCAGUGGCACGGCCUCCCUGUAUCUUUGCAGUCAGCUUUCUGGAGGCAUAGCUGUAUUUAUUCAUUUAUAUCUGGUAAGAUACCGCUCUGGAUGAGCAUGGCACUGUGCCUGUGCAAUUAUGUCCUGCAGGUACUCGUAGUCUCCUAAAUACCAUCUGGCAGUGCUGCAGGGCCAACUGUAUCAGAAAUUCCAGACAGUGAAAAGGAGAUAUUUCAUAGUGAAUGUGCUUCACCUAUUUUUUUUUUGUCUUGUGUGGAAAAACCAAAUAGGUUGUUCAACCCAAACAUAAGCAUUAUGCAUAGAUGCAUGGUGAGAUGAUAAGCCAGCUGGGGUAACCCCUAACUUUAGAUUUUCUCACUCCUGAGCUUAAAUUCACAGUUUAAUGAUGUCUUUACAUGGAUUUAUGCAUUUAAUUCCUAAUUACGUUUUGAAAGUACUGCCUGCCUGAAGACCUAAAACCUCCAGUGCCUGCUGAAGCCGGUGCUUUCAGAUUCAUCUAAAACAUGAGCCAUGGCAUGUACUUUUUGAAGUCUUUGAACUGCAUGUAGCUUUAGUUUGAGCUCUGUCUACUACAGAGGGAAAGGAAACACUUUCCUAUUCUGCUCACAGCCUGUGCUGGAGGGCUGCUGCCUCUUUUCUCACAAUUACUGCUGCAGCUAAUCAUAUGUAAUCCCUGUGUUAGUACUAACAAAGAAAAUCUGUGGGCAUUGGAUAGACGUUUUUUUUACAUGGAGAGAUGCUUGUAUUUUAUUUUAUAACUCCAAUUGCUUUGGAUCUGCAAUUGUUCUUUUUUUUUUUUAUGUAGCAGACAUCCUGAUUAAAUUUAUGGGUUCCUAAAAUACAUAACUUGUAAUGUUUGAUAAACAAUUUUCCAUUUUUCUUUCAUCAGAUGCAAAUAUUCUGGGGGGAGUUCUCAGUUCUAUUCUCCAGGAUAGAAUGCUGAGCCACUGUAAACUGUUCCAUAAUAGAAUAGCUACAUGUCCGUCCCUGGAGGCAUUCAAGACAAGGCUGGAUGUGGCUCUGGGCAGCCUGGUCUGCUGGUCGGUGACCCUGCACAUAGCAGGGGGGUGGAACUCAAUGAUCAUUGUGGUCCUUUUCAACCCAGGCCAUUCUAUGAUUCUAUGUCUGGGUAUAUCAGACAUCUAUUUUUUUUUAAUACCCUUGUGGAAAUUCUUUCAGGACAGGUCUUUGCUGGGCUGCCAAACAUCUGGAAAUCUUGGACAAAUAGCCAUUUCACGUGGACAGAUUCUAUUGCGAUGAGUCCAGUGCACAAGGAUUUGUCCAAAUUGCUCUAUAAGACCUAUGCAGUGGGUAUUUUCACCUUAAUAUAUAGCAUGUGAAAGACAGAAAUACGAAUCCUACUCUGUGUGAUAGAUUGCGCUUUGAUUUACAGCAUUAAGGUUUUGAAUGCUUUUAUGCUUCUAAGCAAAUGUGGGUUCAAAUUUUUGUCAUUUUCAGAUGGUGAUUUAGAUUGUGUUUCUAUAAUUGUAUUCAAAUGCACUUCUGCCCAAUCGUAUUGGGUAGUUCACAUAUAUGUAUAUAUAUUUUCCUUAAAUACUUCAUAGUUUAGCUCCUGGAUAAUACCUAGAUACUAGCUUUGAGUUUGUAGGUAGGCAUGUACCCCUCUUCUCUAUGGAAAACUGUAAAAUGGGGUUUCUCACGGAGAUGCAGGGAAAUUACUGGCUUGUUUAAAUGUUUGGGAUCAUUUAUUUGUUGAUAUACUGAAUCAUUUUGGCAUUGAGUUUUAGGUUGCCUUUUUGUUGUUUCAUACAGCUUGGUUUGUCAAGUGUGCCCUAUCAAGUAGGUUACUAGAGGAUUCAGCUCUCACUCAGAUACAGAGAUGUGUUUGGGAUAAGAUCCUGUACCAAAAAUAUGAGAUCAGAAUAAAUCUUACGUUCUGCUGCUGUGGAUGUUAACAAUAAGGGCUUGGUUGUGAACUCAGAUGCAUUUUGUUUUUUAGAAGUAAAAUAUGAGUGCUCUUCAUUACAGCUGCAGUUUAUCAAUACUUCAGUAGGUCCAAUAGGUCUGACAGUUCUCUUCUACUAAAUCUGUCAGUUGCCUUUGAGAUGAGAGUGGCCUUAUUAUUCAGGUUUUUAUUUUGAUUGCAGGCUUUAGCAAAGGGUAUCAGAAUAGUGGUUAAUUUUUUUAAUCCUUUCCUCUUUAAAGAAGAUGUAAGUUUGGUGGCUUUUCUAUCCUACAAAUACUAUUAUGACAAUUCAGGAUUUAGAUUUUCACGUCUUUUAGGGCAAGCAUGUUUCUGCCUAUAAUUACAUAUGUAAGACAAUUCCUGGAAGGAUUUUAUGCAUGAGAGUUUUUUUAAGUCUAAAGUUUCUUCUGCCAAAACAGUCAUCACAUAAUACAUGUUUUCUGUCAUCUAAAUGAAAUUAAGAUAGAGGUGAACAUUGAUCUGCAUCCACCUCACAUAGAAGGAUUUUUGACAGGUUAAAGAAUAUUUGUAAAUGGCAAGAGUGAAACUCAGUCUCUUGAAAGAUUUUGACCAACCAUUUUCAGUGUGCUGAGCAGUUUAGAAGUUUUGAUGAGGACUCCCCAUAUUUUUUUCUAAGAUAGAUAUGUUAAGUACGUCCUUAACUGUUCCUUACCUGUUCCUUCCUGACCAGCCUUUACCAUAUUUAUCUCAAUCUUUGUCACAGUCAGAUCAGAUUAUGAUGUUGCAGCCCGAGUUAUAGCGAUAUCCAAAUACCAUUAAGAAUUUCUGUUGAAGAAAGAAUAAAACGUCUUUCUUGCUGAAUCACGUCUCAUGCAGACCUGUGCUCUGUAGGUAAUUGUCUUAUGUAUAUGUACAUUUGUCAUAACUGCUUUCCUUUUCUCUAUCUUAGCAGUUAGUUUCAUCUCAACCCAUGAGUUCUACUUUGUUUUUAUCGAUUCUCUCCCCUAUCCCACUGGGAAGGAGAGGAGUGAAUGAAUGUCUGUGGUGCUCAGCCACCUGCCGGGUUAAACCACAACAGUAAUGCAGCUGAUAAUUCGUUUAAAGCCUUUCAAAUCUCCUAGUAAAAGAGAAAACUGAUCUGAAAUUCAUUGUAACAACAACUAAAACCACCGAAAAGAAAAUAAAGUUAGAAAUACACUUGGCACGUAUUUAUUUACAGUUGACUCUGCUAUUCUCAGUAAUGAGGUGGGAUAAGGAAAAGAAAGCAACCCCCCCAAAAUUUAAAACAUAUGUAAAAGAGCUACAAGAACAUUCUGUACGUAGUUUAUAUUCAAAUUUUAAAUGAAGAUAGGUUAAAAAAUGAAAAGGAAAAUGUUCAGGGUCUUUUCUACACUUAUUGUUAAUUCGCAAGCUGGAUAGUUCUUCCAUGACUAAUUGAGAAUAGGUGAUAUUUCACGUGUUUUGGUUUAACUAAAAAUUGUCAACUACUUCUUGCACUCCCUAUUCCUAUUUUAACUACAGUUAUUCUAAUACCAGGUCUAAGGUACUAAAGGAAUUCUGUUUUUCCUAUUGAGGCUAUUCUUGCAGCACAAGCUUCUCUAACCUGCUUUGAUGGGCAGAUUAUGCAAGUUUGUUUUAUUAAUUUACUGCUGUCAGAAGUCACUCAUUGUCUUCUUUGUUAGAUACUGGAAAUAAUGUAAAACUUAAAUGCAAAGGAUGUUAAAUAGUUAGACUAGGAUCUACUCUGUAUUAUUCCUGAUGUAAUUAAUUUGACUUGUGUUUUUGAAAGCCUUCAGUCAUAGACACUGUAAAUGGUGCUAUUGCUUGCUGUUCAAUCAGGAUGUACUGGCUUUGCAAUAGCAAAUUCAAGCUGUUCUGUAGAUGUGCUUUAGAAUAUGCAGAGCAAAUAUGAGAUUAAAAAAAAAAGGAAAAAAAGACAUGAGUUUGAAGGGUUAUUUUAGGGUUAUUUCCAUUCUGUUUUUAAAGAACCUUAUUCUCUAUACAAACUUUCAGAGUUUUCCAAAAAGGAGUGAUUAAAGCUGUAAUUGCUCUACUAAGAUAUGUCGCGCUAAGACGGUCACUCUUCUAUUCUGUGUAUUAAUCAGUUUCAAUAUUUACCUGUAUUCAUGAGUCACCUGAGCUUUGGUAUAGUUAUCUGGUAUGCUGCCAGGUUAUGCUUUGCUUAGUAUCAUUUGCUAGAAGCGGGAUAUCUCAGCUUGCUGGGGAACACAUACAUGCAUAUACAUGUCUGUGACUGCAAGCUAACUCUGUGGGGAAAUGUGAAGGAGCUGUCUAAAUUAAUCAUCUCUCAGCAACUGUUAUAUCUCAUACAGAUAAAAUGUUUCUGAAAAGGUCUGGAGUAAGAAGGGGGAGUGGGAGGGAGAUUCAGACUUUAAUUGCUUUUGCCAUGUCUUUAAAUAAGGUGCAAAAUCAGCAUCUGUGCUAUAAGUCUGCUUCAAAGCAUAGAAGGCUACUGCAAUUCACUGCUGCUUUAUGGUUAGAGAGCAAAAAUGGAAUAUCAGCUUAGAGGUAUAAAUGAAGAGAAGGUGAGUUGAUUUUGUUUCACUCUUGAUUCUCCUGUGCUCUCACACUGAGCAUAGCAGACCCAUCAUGCCAUGUACAUAUGCAUUCCUCUAUAGAUCCUCACCAUCCUGGGCAGGACUCAGGAGUGCUUAAGACUGAAGCAAGACAGAUGCCUACCCAACUAAGGAUACCUGGAGAUUUGGCAGCAUCACAGAGUGAAAUCAGCAGCUCACGAACUCUGAGGAGAGGCAGUGAGCUUUCUCUUCCCACCAUCUUUGCAACAUGAUGUGUCUCUGUAACAGUGUAGGCAGCAGGCAUAUGUGAAAAAAAUAUUAGGAAUCCUAAGAUGCAAAUAGCUGUGCUAUAGUUUGAGUUUCUAUAAAACACAGAAAUCAGAAAUUAUCACCGGGCAGGAAAGCUGUAUUAACGUUAAAUGUUUUCAUGAAUCAGAAUAACUGAAACAGAAAGAGCCCCCCAAAGCUUUAGUUCUUAAUUUUUAUACUUGGUGCAAGGUUGUGGCUUUAGUUUUAGUGUAAGUUCCCUGGGAUUAUUAAUGUGCUGCUGUUUUGUUGGAUAUAGAACUUAGGCAAUACCCUAUAUGAGUACUGCCCUGGUUUAGGUAAUAGCAGUUUCUGUAGUAUGUUUUAUUUCUGUUCCAAACCAGCAAUACUAGAGAAAGCAAAUAAUUUCCCUAACUGGCUACAGUUACGUCUUUGUAGGAAUAGAAAUAGUUUUUAGUAGAAGCUUAAAAUCUACAGAAAUUAAUGUUCUGCACACUGCUUAAUCCCUUAUGACCAUGGGGCCAAACACUAUAAAACUGCUUUUUCCGGGAUCUAGAACUAAAAGCUACACAGCUUAACAUCUUUAUUUGGGAAGUGCUACUUAAAUAAUUGCCUAGUUUUAAGUUAAAAAUGUAGUUUAUUUAUUGGGGAAUCUCUGAAUUCAUCAGCUGUCAUUCUACAUUAUUGGAACCACCAUCUUCCCACAUACAGAUCUCUCUUGUGAAAUCUUUACUUAGGAAACCAGAAGGGAGUGAGCUGAAAUUGUAUUAAUCUUUAGAAAUUUAAAUAAUCUUUUCCACUCUUAUUUAAAAAUAACUCUCUCUGCUUAUGUAACAGAACUAUCCAUAUAGCUAGUAGUUAAUUUCUAAUGAAGCUUUUGUAAAGUCUAUGUAAAGAGACCUUUCUGAUGUUGCUCAGUGGAGAGAAGCAGAAAUGUUCUGCAUGAGUAUGCAUGUGCCCAGCUUUGUAAUCUACAUAAGCAGAAAAAAACACCGUCUUGGAAUGACACGUUUUUGUGCCCAGGGGCUUCUCUCGAUAGGCAAUACAUUUAGAUUGUCAGAGAUACAGAUGAAGCCAACUACUCUGCUCUUUUGGAAACUCAGAUAACUUCACACCAAUGCAGAAAUCAAUGCAAAUACAUUUUAAUUCAGCUAAAUCCAUACACAGUGCUGACAUUAACACUACAAAUAUGAUUUCUCUUGAGCUAAAGUUGCUCUUUCUGAUGAGAAUAGAACAUAUAUUUAUUUCUUCAGGGAUCCUUCCUCACUGAGAGUAGAUGCUUAGGAAAAUUGAUAUUUAUUUCUCUUAGUAGUGCAGGAAUCAGUUUAGUGCAAAGCCAAGGUUAUUCAGUGUUUUGGAACUUGCCAGGAGGGAUUCCGCAAGGAAACUGGACUGUAGCACCAGCUGAAAUAGCACAAUAGAAAAUGCCACUUUGGCAGCUGGAAGAAAUCCAGGGCACAGAGUCAACAGCUGCCUUCUGUUGUCUCGGUACUGGUCUCGUGUCUGGAUCACAGAAGACUUGUGAUUUUUCCCGGUCUCAGUCUGGGAGAAAAAGCCUGCCUUUUGUUUUAGUAGAUAUGUUUUAUCUGAGCCUUUUUUGAUGCUAGGAAAGUCACAGAGUAAGUCAUCUUGGAACAGAGUUCAGGUCACAUGAAGUUGGUGGUGGUCAGUGGAAAGUCAGCACUAAUUACCUUCUAUAAUAAAAAUAUCUGGAUUCACAGAUGAGGGGAAAGCAGAGGUUGUCACUGACCUCCAUUUUUGACAAAGCCUUUAAGAUCAGUUCAUACAACAUUCUUAUGUGAGGAUGUUUGUGAUCUGGUGGGGAAAAGCAAUAGUUCGUGUGUUGUGCUCUAUCUGGAGGAGUAUCCAGUAAAGUGCUAUAGGGUCUAUUGUUUUGUUCAGUAUCUCAAUAAUUUGAAGGAGGCAAUGAAGUAGUUGAUUGUAAGGUUUUGCACCAAAUUGAGACCAGUCACAACAACCAAGGACAGGGCUGCCAACCAACGGAACCUAGCGAGACUGAAGCAAUGGACUAAUGAGUGUUACACAAUUCAGGAAUGAUAAAUGCAGUUGCUGUCCUUGGAGAUUUUUGAGACUCACCUAGGGACAGCCCUAAGCAAUGUAAUAAGAACAAGCUUUUCUUAGAAAAGAAGGUUGGAUUGGAGCUCUGAGGUCUUUGCCAGAAUAAAUUAUUCUGUGAUUAUCCAGAAGAGGUAUUUAAUACGACUGAUGGAACAGCUUAGUCCUGUUUCCACAAAUAAUUUUUUUUAAAGGAAAAGUCAACAACAAUAAAAAACCCACCAACUAAGAGCUCUUUGGGUAGACAGGGAUGUGAAUAGAACUAUACAUCCCCAGAAUAGUGUAAAACUCAUUCCUCCUCAGGGGCAAUUCUCCAUCCUGUUGCCAGCCUUGCACAAUAAGUAACAAACAGAAGAGCUCUGUUUGCAGCAUCUGAAGACAUUCCACAGUCAUGUCCCUUGCUCUGCAUAGAGGACUUUUUCCCCUUGGUUUUAACUCCCAUUUUAUUUCUCUAAUAACUUUGAUCACGACCAUUUUAUCUGACAAGAGCUCCUCCAGGGUGUUUUCCAGCACCAUGAUAGUGCAUUAAUGUCAGCCCUAAGGAAGAAGGAAAUUCAUGUACUGUCUUACAGUCUUUUCUUCGUCUGAUUGGAACUCCGCAAGUUAGGAGUGGGGGAAGAAGAAACUGCAGAGUCCUGGACCUACGGAGAAAACAGACGCAGAGUGUUAGGAAAGUUGCUUACAGGCCUACAGCAAGGAUGUGUGGUCAGUCUCAUCGCAAAAAAAUGUUCCAUGAAGAUGAUCAUAGGAGAAGACAAGGGAUGUCACAGAAACCAAGAUCCAGCUCUUUGUGAAACUCAUUGGGAAUGCUGAUCUCAUAUGCAGUCAUGGGUUGUUGAACUAGCAUUCCCAUGAAGCCCAACCUGGUCUUCCUGCUACCCACAAAGCCCCUUUAAGCAUUGCAUCAGUUGGCAAGGUCAGGGUUCUAUCACUUAUGGACUGAUAAAUGCAAACCUGGGAGAUCUGUUUAUGAGUAAAUGAGGGAAAGCAACUGUUCUGUCUGAUGUCAGCUGCACGUGGUACAGUUGCAGUGAUAGAAGUGAUACGGAACACUCAUAAUACCUAAAGAGAGAGCAGUGUGUGCAAUCCCUCCUGGAAUGGGGAGCAUUCUUUUUUAGGAGUUGCAGCUUUGUCUUGGUGAAGAUGCUUAAGAAAUAUGUUCAUUAGUAAUGUGAAAGGAGUAUGAUCAGACUUCUCAAGUCAGAAACUAAACAAAAACCCAUGCACUUCUUGCUUGGAUAGGACUAAAUUCCUCAUUACUGUGCUUGGUUCAUCAGUUAGUUGAUGAACACAAGUACCUACUUACUGGAUUGCAAUGGAAUCUGCACCAGGAAGUUCCCUUAGUUCACUGUAAGUCAAUUUUGCAGUUUCUCUCCAUAUUGCAAUGACUGUAUAGAGUACCUUGUGGCCUUCUCUGGCCAUCAACACCAAGAAUACAAAUCGGUGGAUGAUCUCUCACGAUGAUCUUUUCAGACUCUCCAUUUUGCCAAAUGCGUUUUCUGCCUACGUACAUUUUGCAGUGAUCUUGAGUAGCUUACAGGACACAGAAUGCAAAUCACAAUUGUUGUUGGAAAGAGCUGCUACUGAAAAAAAACCCCAACAUUCAGAACAAAGUUAUUACCGCUUCGUAACAUCUUAAAAAAAAAAAGUUAACCACUGAGCUUUUUUUUCUAUCUUGAUGCAGUGUAUGGCUUUGUCUAUAAAAACCAAAAUGCUCGUGUCUUAUAGUACAGUAUUUAAAUGAUCAAGGAAGAAGUAUAAUAGUGUAUGCCAAAUAUUUUUGUAGCAUCUACCGACUCUAGCUUUCCAGUCUCACAGAGAGCAACCAUUGGACCUGUAUUAUUGUUAUUCCUAUCUUAUUCUGGAAAGAGAUGUGAAACUAUUCAUCCAUUACAACUGCUCUUUGAUAGCACCAUCCCCAGUCAGAUGGGAUUGUCAAACUGGGAUUUCUUCUUAUGUUAGGUCCAGUAUUAGGCCAUCACUUCAGCAAAGCAGAUUCCACCAUACAGGAAGAUUGUUUCCCAAAAUAAAUCUAAAUUCUGUUUUUUCUUCUGUCAGGUAUGAGCCUUGUACCUAAAAGUGACCUGAUAGGAACAUUUCAAUAUCUUAAAGGGAGCUACAGGAAAAAAGGGGACAGAUUCAUUAGCAGGGUCAUGGUGAUAGAGCAAGGGGAAAUGCCUUCAAGCUCAAAGAGGGCAGAUUUAAGUUAGAUAUAAGGAAAAAAGUCUUUUACAGUGAGGGUGGUGAGGUGCUGGAAUAGAGAUGCGGUUGAUGCCCCGUCCCUGGAGACUUUCAAGGUGAGGUUGGAUAGGGCCCUGGACAACCUGAUCUAGCUGUGGUGUCCUUGCUCGUUGUAGGGGAGCUGGACUAGGUGAUCUUUAAAGGUCCCUUCCAACUCUCAGGAUUCUAAGUGUGGUCAAUAUCGAAGUAAAAUCAUCAUGUCUCCUGAGUAAGGUCCUAUUAGCUGUCUCUUAGCUGCUCACACACGUUCAUCAAAAUCUCAUAUGGGUCACUUGAUACUGACCCAUUAUGUACUAUUUGUAGUAGACGUCUUUUCUUUUUCUCAUUAUUAGUAUUUUAGAUAUCUCAUUUAGACUAUUAAUUACAUCUUCCAAUUGGGAAAUGCACGGCUCUUCAACUCCUAUUUUAACAGUUAUCUAGAGCAUAAUAUGGUGUACAUUGCAUUGUAUUUGAACUUAAAUCUCUGAUUAGUAAAGCCCACUGGUAUGGCCAUUCUGUCAUAAAAUGUUUAUCCAGAAUUGAUAGCCACGUAAUUACUUUUAGUUAUGAAAGUUUUUAUUCUGUACUGGGAGAUAAUACUCUGAAAUCGUAUUGCUAGGAAUGAGAAAUAUCACAGUAUUUUCCAAACAUCAAAAUAUCUUUCAGCGGAAAGAAACUUCAAAUAUUCCUAUUUGUCACUGACAGACUGAUUUCUGCCCCUAAGGCUCAAGGAGACCAAUUGGUCUUCUGUAAUUCAUGUUUGGAGUUUGUAUACUUGAGGAAAGAAUUUUCGGAUAUUGGUGUAUAAAUACUGCUGUUCUGUCUUUAUACAGAAAUGGAAAAGAAAAGAGGACCCCUAAACAAAAACAUUUUUUUUCUUAUUUUUGCAAUUUUUUAUCUUCUGCAUAUGAUGAAUACUUCCCGUGUUUAUCUGGGUUGCUUUGGUAUUUGCCUCAAAAAUACAUCAUUAUCCACAAACCCUUAAUCAGAACAUGAAAGGAUCAUUUUAUCUCCUGUACUACUUCUUAUCCUGUAUUUCCCAGGGCUUCUAUUGAUUUUCCUUUUUAAUGCAAAUCACCCCAAAAUGUUUCAUUUUAGUUGUAGCAAAGCUAUUACCUUUAGUUUGAAGGCUUCUAAUUGUGAUUUUCCUUGAAUAUUAUAUUGGAAUUUAUUCCAGUAGUCUGUAAUGUUUCUAUAUUUUAAAAUGAAUUAAAUACAUACGCUUAAAUUAGCCUUUCAACAGCAACAACAAGUUUUUAUUAGAUAUCAUUCUCUUUGAAUAUUAUUGAGAUUAUAUUAGAACUGUGUGAGAAUUCCUACACCGUCAACUGCUUUCUGAUGAAAUUUGUAGCAGAGAUCUUUUACAUUUACUGAAUUCUUUCAUGAUAGCCUUCUGCAAACACUCUGUGAACAAAUAUAUUAAUAACAAUAAUUAGCAUUAAGUGGUCUGACGGUAAAAUCUAUGAGCGUAUAUUUAAUGGCAUGGGGAUGCAGAUUUCUUUUUAAUAUGUUGUUUUUAAUAGACUUCGGAGGCAUUUAGGAUAUCCUCUGGCAUUAUGGAGAAUGGGCCUGACUUGCAGAGUGAUUUUUUUAUAACUACUGCUGUAGCUGUUUUUAAUGGUAUGAGCACAUUUUAAAGUUUUGCAGUAAGCUUUCCUUGCUCCUGCAUUGAGUGUCACAUUUCUUACCCAGCUUCUGUUCUGGUAACCAUGGGAUGGGUCUAUAUGAGUGCUCACCUUUUCAGUUAGCUAUAAUGCUCUCAAAUUACAGUUUAUACUAUUGUUCUCCAGAGUUCCCAUUUCUGCAGUGCAAGAGAUCAUGUUCUUCAUGGAGGAUCCCAGAGAGUUUUAAAGGUGUGCACUUCCGUUUGCAUAGACUGAAUAUUAUCAAGUACAAUUCUAAUAUGAUUUUUGGUAUUUCAUUUUUUUCUGGUUUAUUUACUUUUGAAAUAAGAUGAUCCUUUAUAUGAGGCAGCGUCAUUGAAACAUGUUCUUCUGUAUUGAAAAACAUAGCUUGUUUCUUCUCACACACCCAUAUUAUCAGUUAACAUCUACCUUUAGUGCAGAGGGGCUCUGAAUCUCAAGGAAACACGGUGACCACUUGAAUCCAUGGGAUAUGUCACCAUGAUGACUAUCACAUCAUAUGACAAACAGCUGAAUGAGCAAUUACAGCUGUUCUUACCAUGGCUGGGCAGGUUAAGAGGCAGCACGAGCAGAACACACGGCAGUGAUGUCCUGGGACCAGCUGCUGCUGUCUGCAGGUGGCAUGCUGCCCUCCGCAGAAGUCUGUGCCUGGGUAUGGGCAGGGCAGCUGAGUGUAAACCUAUGGGCUGUGUGGAGCUGCCUCAUGCAGGAGGGAGAAACCUCACUGGGAAAGCAGGGGUUGCUGUCACAUCUGAAACUGCCUCAAGUGUACAUGCUGCUGCUUUUGAGAAUCGCUCAGUUGAUGUAGAUAUCUCUGCUGUACAUUCAGCCUUCUCACCAGAGGCAAUAGGGACAGGCAAACGUGAAUAUGUGGAGCUGCAGAUACAUGAGGCUAUGUACAGAGCCAAUUUAACUUGCUCUGUGGACUGACAAUCUGUAGUUGGUGACUGGAGUGGAAGAAAAGCACUCACAGUGAGACUAUGUGGGAGAGAAGAAGAUAACCCAGUCCUUCCCAUCCCAUCCCCCAACAUGAGAAGGUUUUAUCUGUGUGGGAAGGUGAAAAGUUUUGUGCCAAAGCUGGUUGUUGCAUUUUUUUUAUCCAUAAUGCAAGAAAGCAGCUACAGUAGUGCAGCUGAUAGCCAUCCUCUUUGGAAUUACUGUUGUUCUUUAAUGAGCACAGCUAACAAAGGCUUUAUUUUCUAUCUCACUGUGUAAACAGCACAUGCUGGUACAAUGCCCUGACAUGUAAUUCUGCUCUUGGGGCACUGGCUCAUUAUAGGCUUGUAGUCAAGAGUACAAGCUGCAAAAUUGGGACUAUCAGUUUGGGGGGGUUCUGCUUAUGAAGAAGUGAAAUUGCUUCUGACAGGUUCUUGACAAUACCAGGCAAAGUAGUCACAGGUGGGCCAAUAGUCACACAGAAAGAAAAGCUGAAAUCAUUCUACUGGUGAAGGGGCUCUCUGGCUAUGCAGCACUCCUCCUCAAGAGGCAGCCUAGGUCCAAGAGAUGCCCUCUCUUCAGUAGCUAGCCCUCAUGUAAGCCCAGCAUUGCUCCACCUUUUGUCCACCCCUUCUGGACACAUGGGGAACACAGGUGCAAACAAUCUGCCUGUGCUCCCUGGGCUAGCCACACCCCUUCACCAGGUGCUCAGUUCAAGUGGAGAAAUGGAGUUUUUCAACAGUAUUAGUCAGGGAGACAGGCAAGGUAUCUAGUGCAGAGACCUGCUGUUGAAGUGGUGGUUUUGGAGGAGAUACUCAAGUAAUCUCCUCCAGAAGCACAGCAACCUGUCAGGUGCUGAGUCAGAGCUCCAGGACAUGCCUUCCUGUCAUAACUGAUGGAUGGGAAUCUAAGGUAUGUUUUGUUUUUCCAUCUCCUGUUACAGCUGUUGUUCUGGGAGGAAAUUGUUGCUGUUGUGCUGUAUAUUUGGAGUCAGGACUUCUGCGAUUCCAUCUUUUGUGCUCUGUCCUCUGUCCUCCUCAGUAUUGUUCCUUACUCAAAUUUUAUUCUUCUAAGCAUCCUUCCACAAAACACAGCUGAAAUAUCCUGCCCUGAACCGCACAGUCCUUUUGGGGAGCUAAGUUCUGUGCUCUGUAUAAAUAGAGGGACAACUUUACAAGGGUGGAUAGCGAUAGGACAAGGGGGAAUGGUUUUAAACUGAGACAGGAGAUUUAGGUUGGAUAUUAGGAGGAAGUUUUUCAUGCAGAGGGUGGUGACGCACUGGAAUAGGUUGCCUAAGGAGGCUGUAGAUGCCUGGAGGUAUUCAAGGCCAGGCUGGAUGUGGCUCUGGGCAGCCUGGUCUGGUGGUUGGCGACCCUGCAAAUAGCAGGGGGGUUGAAACUCAAUGAUCAUUGUGGUCCUUUUCAACCCAGGUGAUUCUAUGAUUCUGUGAACUUCCUCAAAACAAGAUUCAGUUUAAUUUUAACAUUUGGGGAAAAUAGGAUGCAUGUAUUUAUUUAUUUUACACGCACACACAAAAAAAAAUGCUCUGUAAAUGUUAAUUUCUUCUGAGUACUUGCAUUCUUGGUGAAUUAAUCAUCCUUUUCCAAACUCACUUUUCCUUUAAGAUUAUGGUGGUUUUUUUGUUUGUUUUUUUGUUUUUGUUUUUGUCUCACUUUGCUAGCUGUAUUUAGAGGCUUUGACAAUAUCAGUUAGCUCACUGCUGUUUCAAAGGCAGGAUCUUAAGGCAAAUGGCAUCUUGCUGUUUCUGAAGAGCAAGCUUUUGUGUUAUCAGUAGCUAGUGUUUAUUUUCCUGCUUUAAUGCAGUUAGCCUCAUUUUGAAUUGACCCCAUGCUUUCAUACAGCGGUCUCCUUGACAAGAACCAUAUGAAUAGCACAUAAGGGAUUCUAUGGAUUCCCACAGAGUAGGACCACAGUCUUCAAACAAACGAACCCCUCCCUCACCGAAUACGAGUAAGAAAUGUCUGAAAAUUUGUCUCUUCUACUUGUUCUGCAUUCAUCUUCUGCAAAGUAUGCUGUAGUACAGAAAAUCUGCAAGAGCUUAAACAGGUCUCCAGCUGACUUCUUGAUCUCAGAGAUCUUUAUUUUAAUACUUCUUAUCCUUGAUUAUGAAAGUGUAAUGUAGAUGUAGUAGGAGUCUUAGGGAGCCUCUGAGAUGCAGAGCAAUCGUGUAGACGUUUGCUCACACAUUAAAGAAGUUAUCAUUUCUGUUUAUAAUAUUGUUUGUGCUCCAUGAAAUAUGAUAUUUAGUGGAGGCCUUUAAAGUUCUGUGCAUAUGCUGGUGUCAGUAACUUAAAUUUCUGUUGCCUCUUGUCUUGCAUAUGGUGAUAAUGAUACCAUGGAGGGAGGAUAACAACUUCUCCUCUUCUCUAGGUGUAUUGAUCUAUCACAGAUGUAGAAAUUGCUUUUCACACCUUUUACUUUUGUCUCUACACUGUUAUUUGACUUUUUCUUAGCAGUUAGAGACACAGUUUGCAGGAUAAACUCUUACUGAAAUAUAGGCAUACUGUAGACAUAUGUUUGCUCUGCGCACAAUUGUCCCCUUAUAGCACUGGUAAGUACCCAUGCUUAGAAUAGAAUAGAAAAGUUCAGUUGGAAGAGACUUUCAAAGAUCCUCAAGCUCAACUUCCUUACCUCAGGGCUAACCAGAAAUUGAAGCAUCUUAUUUAUUAAGUGCAUUGUCCAAAGGCCCCUUGAACACUGAGGGCAUAAACCACUUUGCUAGUAAGCCUGUUCCAGUGUCUGACCACCUCAUGGCAUGGAAAUGUUUCCUGCAGCCAAACCUGACCCUCCCCUGGCAGUGCUGUGCUGUUCCCGUUCUGCUAUCGGUUCCCAGGAGCAAAGCCCAGCACCUCCCUCUGCUUCCCCUCCUCAGGAGCUGCAGAGAGCAGUGAGGUCGCCUCUCGGCCUCCUCUACCCAAGACUGGGCAGCCCAGAGCCCUCAGCCUCUCCUCAUAGGACCUGCCUUCAUGUCCUGUUACUAAGUUCGUUGUCCUUGCCCUUGGAAGCCUUCAGACUAGGGCAACAUUAGUAUCCUUUUUACAUCCUGGGACCCAGUUUCUGCUUGUUUACAAAAUGUUGCUUAUGUUCUACAUUAGAAUUCAACUUGUGUCAUCUGCUUUUCUGAGUGGCUGCGGUUUAAUCAUUAAAUACACAGCAGAGGAGCAACUAACUAUUAUAAUUUGCCUGAGGAUGGAGUCUGCAUUGAAAAGCGUUUAGAGCCAAAAACUGUCUCCACUGACAUCAUGGGAAUUGCAGACCGGGCUACAAAAUGCCACUGAUCAUAAGGUCAUGUAAUAGAGAUUACUUAUCUGAAGUGCAGUCCUUAAAUCUCCUUAACUCCCCAGCCAGCUCUAGAACUGCAAAUUACAUUAUUUUGAUUUAACAUCUAAAGAAAAAAGAUUUCCUGUGAGCCUGCAGAUAAAAAAUUUGGGUGAGGAAAAAAGAGCAGCUGCAGCAAAGCUCUACUUAAUAAACCCAACAAGUCCCCGUUAGAUGGAAAAUCUUUUGGAUAUACAAAUGUAUGUAUAUAAAGCUAAACUUGAUGAGAAUGUUUAGCAAACUGGAUUUUGAGGAAAGCUGGGAAAUUUGUUUCACUACUUGAUCAUGCUUCUGGUUUUUGGUGGGUUUGGGUUGUGGAUUUUUUUCCAUCUCUUGAGAUAUAGCCAUUAAAAAAAAUACAUCCUUCUCCUAUAUUACAUUUUUAUCAACAUCCUCAGCUUACAGUAUCUAGAAGUCUAUUAUUUUAUAAAGAUAUAUAAAUAAUGUAGUAGUAAGCUAAAAUAAGAACUGUUAUUUAUCAACUUUCUAAGUGUUAUUGUUUUACAACACUGUACAUAGCAGGUGAUGGUUACAUCCCUUGAGUCUUACUCAUUUUGUGCUAUCUCCUUUCUCUCUUGUUCUUCUGAAUAUUGUUUAUCAGUCAAGCCUUUUUCUUUUUUUCUUCGGACUCCUCUGAGCUGUAUACAUAAUUUCAGAAUGCUGACGUUACCACAGGACAAGAAUCCUUAAUUUGGUCUCUUGGGAUGCUGUAGUGUGAGGAAAAACAAUUCCAUGCACACUUUAUGGUCUGUCCCAGCGGUGAAAGGCAGAUCUACUUCUCGAUGUGGCAGGGGCUGUAAAGUUAGUUCAGGUCUUAACUUCAUGUGUAUUUCUUUGCAUUUUUCCCUUCAAUAAUUAUCCCUAAAUUGAUAAGGAAAUUUAGGGUAUAAUCAAGUCUAUUCAUCGUUUUUAAAGAUGUGCUGUAUGUUCUGAUUUUGAGUACUUUGAUGGUAGGCCUUUCAAAAAAAGUCUUCAAAUAAUCACACCUUAGUCAUCUGUUCACGUGGAAGGCAGGUUACACUGCUAUGCUUGUUUAACCAAUAAGGCAGUGACAUAUCUAUAUUGAACAAUGGCAGUUUCAGUGGGCCCAUUUAAGUUAAAAAUGGUAGCUGCUGUGCUCAGCAUCCAUGAAAAUAGGAACAGUUUCAAAUUAUCUUCCAACAUGCUUAAAUCUUACAAAAGAGCUGAUCUUUAGACCUCUGGGGGUUAAAGGAGAGUCAGACCAAAGGCAGAAGUCAGUUUAAACGUGAGUGGAUCUUCUUUGUUGUUAACACGUUAGUUUAUAGUUUAGAAUUUUAAGCAUGUGCUCUUAAUAAAUUAUAAGAUAAAACAGAACAGCGAUAAGUUCGUGACAUUCUCAAUGUUUGCCAAAUAGCAAUCCGGCUGUAUGCUGCUUGCUGCUGUCCCUUUAAUCACCAGAGGUGUUAUUGGACAGACUGACCUUCAAAGAGAAGAAAGCAAGUGCACAAAAACAGCUGAGGUUUUGGCAAUAACAUCCACACUGUGUUUAGCUGCAGUACAGAAUAUUAUCUGUUGCAACUCCAAUGAGAAAGACAGAUGUAUGUUCUGUAUUACCAUUUUGGCUUUGUGCAUCUUAAGGGAUGUUUGGCUUCGUGCAUCUUCAUGCAUAUCAAACUGAAAGCAAAAUUGAGACACGUGAUUUUUUUAACCCUACGUAUUCCAUUUAUGAUGCACGCUACUACUGAAAUCAGGCCUGUAGUUUCUUACUAUAAUUAUAAUCUUGUAAAAAAAAAAAGUUUGCAGAUAUAUAUGUAAUACAGGCUUUGCUUAUUGAGCUAUUCUAUCUGUGGUCUAGUGUGGGAUCAGGGAAUUGUCAUUUUAGUCAGUAUUUUUUUUUGCUUUUGUAAAAAGCCACAAACCUGUUCAUUAGCUGAGCCAAACACUGAAAAGGUACCAUCUACGAAAAGCAAAAAUACCGUUUGCUUGGUGAUAAUUACUAGCGUUCAUUUUCUCACUUAAGUGAUAGAGCACGUCACACUGUUGCCAUAGCAACCCUGAUUCUAUCCCAUUAACUGCCUAAUGUGAAUUUAUGAAUGCAAGUUUCAACGUGUGGAAAAUAGCUGGAAAUAGGGUGUGAUUCAUCAUGUGCGGCACCGACAGCUGAGUUGCAAGCUAAGCCAGGGCAAUCUGAUUUGGUUUGCAGUAUUAAAGUGGUAUACUGGUUUGCAAAUAUCCAAUUAAAUAUGAACUAAUUUAAUAUUUAAUGAGUUUUUAAAUGAUAACUGAAUAGGUGUGUUAAAUUUUGAGGUGCUUGGUGCUGCAUUACAACAUUAAAAAAAAAAAACAAAACUAUUUUUUUAUUAGUGUUGCUGGAUACUGGCUCUGUAAUAAUGUUUUGAUGAAGACUUGAGGCAUUUCAAAGGUGUAUAUCCAUUUUGAGUUAGGUUGUUAAUGCUGAAUGUGCUCCUAGAUCCAGAGUUGUAAUGGGUUCAAAUCUUGAAGUUCUUGUGGAAUCCUAAUGAGCUUUUGAGUCAAAUGUUUAAGUCUAUUUCUUUAUAUUCUUUUCUCUUGUAAAAUAGGCACAAAGAAACCACCACCAACAAUACAAAAACAUUUUUCAUUUCAUUUCUCUACAUCAUAACUAUUCACUGUUGGUUCCUGUACCUUUUAAUUUUCACGUUGUGAUGAGUCUUAAUGCAUCAGCAGAGGUGUAGGAGUACUGUUCAUCUAAAAUAGCAAAUGUAUCUCUACCCACAGUCUGUCUGCUCAGUACCCAGUGUGGAGUGGCCAUGCCCCUCAUUAGCUGGGGCUCUGAUGGCUAUUUCAAAAUGAAUAGUACUGAAUGCUGAAAAAUUGCAUGAAGGAGAUGGCAUCACAAAUACAAUGCCAAUCAUUUAGAGACACAAUUGAGGUAGCUCAUGCAGUUCUUUUUUUUACAUCUGUGCAUUUGCAUUAUGGUACAGUCCUUUAUUGUAUGGUUAUAUAUUAUUGUAAGUGAUUUGUGUGAAGUCAAAGAUGUGCUGUAAUUCUUUCUCAGAAAAGCCCUAUUAGCCUAUUCACUGGCAAAUACAAAGGAACAAGAAUAACUGUUUAAGUUUACUGGGGAUAAAAGAAGUGCACCUCCUUUCAUGUUGGCUACCUUUCAGAAUUACAUUCUUACAACAGAAAUACUUGCUCAUUUUUUUUUUUUUAAUUUCACCAGAGUCAGAAUUCAUUUUCACAUUUUCCUUUACUGUACACUAUUAAAUCACAUGGAAUCAUUCAGUUGCAAAAGAAGAUUUCUGCUUCAUUGUAAUCCAGAAAUUUGCCUUUCAGGGUUGUUCUGUAUGGAACUGAAAGGCGCAUUAUUGCCUACAGGAAGGCUGCGGAGGGACUUUUUGUAGCAGCAGGAUGAGGGGAAAUGGUUUUAAACUGGAAGAGGGUAGAUUUAGACUAGAUAGUAGGAAGAAAAUCUUUACUGUGGGGGUGGUGAGACACUGGAACAGGUUGUCCAGAGAGGUUGUGAAUGCCCCCUCCCUGGAAGUACUUAAGGCCAGGCUGGGUGGGGCUGUGAGCAACCUGGUCCAGAGAGAGGUGUCCCUGCCUAUAGUAAGGGGUUCGAACCAGGUGAUCUUAAGGGUCCCUUCCAACACAAACCAUUUUAUGAUUAUGUGUGCUAUCAUGUCAUGAGUACAUUUGAUUGGAUACAUCUUACUCUCUUCCUCUUGUCAUUUUCUGUGAAGUUUCAUGGUUGUUGCACUACUCUUGUUUGUACCUAUCCAGCUCUUCCAGACAUUAUGGACUAUAAUAACGAGUCAAUGACGAAGAUCCCCUAACAUUACUAGUCUUCCAUAUAGGAUGGAAGACUUUGCUCAUAAUUCUGUAGGUACAAAAGUAUCAGUACUGAAGAAACAAAGACCUUUUGGGAGCUGAUGAUGACAUGAUUCAAUAUAUGUGUGGUGCUUCUAUAAAAGGAAACAAAUCAAAAUAACUCUUUAAAAAAAUCUAAAAUUCUUACAUGGAGGUUACAGAUAUGACCAAUAUCAUCAUUAAAGGUCUAAUAUGAACCUUGCUUAUAUAUUAGUAAUAUUCUAGUAGUUGUUGAUUUUAAUCAGAACAGAUACCUAUACAGUAAAUCUUUCGUAAUGAAUGUGAGAUAGGUAACUGAAGCAAUAAAAAUUGAUCUUCUACUAUCAGGAUAAGCAGGGGUACACUAUGUGGGGAACAAGUGUUGACUGAUAUUUAGCUCCAUGCAGAGAGGGAUCUGGAAGAUAUAAAAGUCCAUCUCUCUAGUAUUAAAUCCUCUUCUCCUGCAAUUGAGAAUGUGUCCCCUGUAUAUUUAAAAACAGAACCACAGCAAAAUGUUCUCAGAUCUCCAGCUGGUCUGGGUAUUUUUCUGUCCUGAAAGAUAAAGGUCCCUGGGUCUUUUGUUCAUUCAAGUGGGAAGAUGUAAACUGAAAAACAAGGAAUGUUUCUCUUUAUGGAAUCAUUUGACAAAGAAAAAGAAGAAAACAAAAUUACUUUGAUAUCGAUAGCAGCAAUAAGUUAUUAGGAAAACCACCAACUUGAUUCUUUUUGCUGGUUGGCUGUGACUAGUGAAACAAUCAUCAAGUUACCAGAGAAUAUAAAAAAUGGAUAUGUGAAAAUGGUAAUCUUAAUUCAUAAAGGAAGGAAGAACAUGCUAAUGACAAGCUACUCAGCUAGUUUCUCUAGCUGUGGUAUUGAGGGAGCAAUUGAGGGAUCUAGCUGUGCAACUGAGGGAGACGAUUGUGGGACAGAGUCUUCUGAAUAUCAAAGAAAUAUUGUACAACUGGAUGUUGGUCCAAAUUCUGAGAACCAGAAUGCACUUCAAACAGACAGAUACUAUGGGCUUACAAAGUAGUUUGUGUGAAACGCUAUGGUCUGGGCUUGUUGGAUUAACUGACAUUUGUAAUGCCUAAAGACAGAAUCAAGGAGAUUUGUUUCAGUGAGUACUAAUGUAAGAGAAAUUUGGAAUUUCAUGGAUAUUGAAACUAGUUAUGGAUCUAGCAUGGAUUGUAGGCAAAAAUUCAUUGUCAAAAAAGUAUUUUUCUUUAACUUCACUCAUUUUGAAAAAGGAAAAAUAAAGCAUUUCGUUUUAGGAAUAGUUGAACAGUUUAUAUUAGUUUACAUUUAAAUUUAAAAGCAUUGUCAAAAGUAAUUCUGCUAAUGAAACCAACAAAAUUGAUUGGCUCCAAGUCAUCCUAGAAAUAAGGCCUUCCCUACUUCUUUGGGUUUUCCAUUUUGCAGUAAAAUAAACAUUGGAAUAUAUCCCUUUUGAAGAAACCUCAGCUGAACUCAGUUUGACAGAUCCGUUUUUAUCACUUAUUUACUGGUUCAACCACUGAAUGAAAACAGGAUCUGUAUUUUGCUUUGCCCUUUAUGUCAACAUCCUGAAUCAUCCAGAGCUUUGAUGUAGAUGCUCCUAGACUUUCUACAUGAGAUGCCUUUGGGAUGCAAGAAAAAGACAAGUUUAAAUAGAAUAUAAGUUAAAGAAAAAAGUAGAUUUUAAAAAAGAGUUCAAAGUCAGUAUGACAGAAAACUGAACAAAAAAAAAAUAAUAGGUUUUUUUUUUUUUUCUGUCUGACCAUUUUGUUGUUUUAGGGUUCAGCUUCCAAACAUCCUUUCAGUUACCCUCGUCCAUUUUUGACAUUCAGCUGCAUUCCCUGCAGAUGCAGGAAGUUUCCCAGCAACUCUGACUCAUGUAGCUCCUUGUUCCAGCUCUGAUAUUCCUCUGUACUUCCAAAUUGCUUUCGCCUUCUUGAAGAAAUAUAUACUUGGGAUAUAUCACAGUUGAGCAGUGUUCACAAAUAAAAAAUAAACGAUUUUAUCGAAUAUAUAAUUCAGAUACAUAUAUAUCCAAUUUCUAUCUGUCAUGUCAUUACAUACCUCGUGAUCAGCUUCAGUGAAAAUGUAGUGAGCGGUAUCAAUGGAAAGGAUUUCUGAGCAAUGUGUUCCCUGGUGAUACAGUGGGUGGGAAGACUGCAGGUUUAGCUCAUUCCAGUAGCACUGCCUUGGCAAGCUGUUUUCAAUGACGUAGGAAAGGUCUUUUUUUCUUUGGUUCAUAAACUAGGAAUUAGCAGCAAAUAUUUUGAAACUGCAUCUUGCUGUCAGGUUAUGCAGUGAAAAUGUGUCACUGCUUAUGGGAUUAGAAAGUCAGAGAGUCUUAGGUGACUGCAUGGAUUUACCAGUGUUAAUUAGGAAGUGGUGUUUGUAUCUUUUGAAACUUGUUGGCACAAAGCACAUCAUGUCACUAGAACAUAUAUGGCAUGUUCAGGCACAUAUAUUUGUGUGUAGUGAUGUACAUAUGUGAUUGCUGACUUGGAGAAUUACUGCGCAUUUUUUCUUAAUGAAGAAAAGGUAAUGAGUUUGUGUAAAUUUAUUGACUUUGGAACAUGAAUUGUAAAGUUUAAUUCCAGAACACACAUGGAUAUCCAAAAUAUUUCAAAGGUUAACAAAGAAGUCGAAGGGAAACCCAUUAUUUAUACAAAGAAAAAGCAGCCCUUUGCUGCUAACUGGGUGGCUUUCUGAAACAUGUUGACCUCAUAGCUAACAUCUUGACUGCAGAUAGUUUAUAAUACAGAAACACGUGGAGUUGUUGAAAGUAUAUUGGAGUUGAAAAGGUGAGAGGGGAAGGAAAAGUAGGGCAUACUGUAAGAAAUGCCAGAGAAUUUCAAUUACUGGAAGUUUUGUGGAGUUGGUUAGCAAGAAUGUCUGCUAAGAACAUAUAUUUUCUGGGGCUUUUAUUAAUUUUGGUUAUUGGAAUCGACCUUAGGGGAAAAAUCAUUUAAAGAGUAGCUGAUACUAUCGAAGAGUGGCAAGUGAAUUAAUAACAUUUAGAGAACUUGUUUUGUGCUAAACGCUGCUGGGUAUAUGUGCAUAAUAUAAAAACUUGUGAAAGGCAUUGCAGUUGACUAGCAAACAUUUAGAAAAUUAUUUACUGUAUGUGGAAGACUUGACAGGAGUUUUCCUACAUAAUCUGCAUGAUUAAGAAUUUGAAUCUUGAAGUCUGAGGCCCAAAAUCUGUAAAACACCACACUCUGUUACUUAAUACAAUCUGAAAACGUUUUAAAACUUACUGGUAUAUUAAAUACUAUUCUGAGUAAGGAAAUACAUACCCAAGUACCUGCUUAUAAAGAUUGUAAUAAUCUGUCAAUGGUUGGUAUUAAGUUUAUAUUAGAGGCAUGGCUGUUAAAAGAAAAAAAAAAUGAUAUAUAUAUAUAUAUAUCUUUUAACACACAUACAUAUAUACAUAUAAAUAAAUAUAUAUAUAAUCUUUUUUUUUUCAACAUGGAAAAUGAUGCUUGUCUUUACAUUUGCUUGGUCUUUAAAAAGACCAAGAAAUGAAUUGCAUUCCCACUGAAUUGUUACUGAAGGCUAAGAAAUCAUUUACAUACGUAGAAUUUUUGUGAGGAUUAUUUUCUCACUUAUUCUUCCUAGUAUGGAUGUUAUCAUCAGUAGGGGCUAAACAAGGUUGUUCCACAGACAAGCAUAACAAUGGUGACCACUUUUAGGGACUGUUCUCAUCAGUUAACAUGAUCGGUGGAUUUAGAUCAUCCUCAGGAAACAGUAAAAGCUGUUUUUCAAAAUGACAUUUAUUUUUUCAUGAAAAUUAUUCCAAAUUACCUUGAUGCCCAUCAAUAAUGCUUCAAUUUUUCAACAAUUUAAAUGGAGCAUUUGUCUGUGAUUUUCAACAUUACAUUCUCCUGCUCUCAAUACUUUCAGCUAUUUGUAAAAACAAUGGAAAAAAAUCUUCCAGUUAAUUCAAAUAGUAUUAACAUUAAAUAGUAUGCAGAAAAUUGAGGAGAACAAGACAGGACAAUAUAGAGGUUGAGACUGGGAGACGGGGUAAGACAGCAAGGAACGGGAGAAGACUGUAUGGAACUGUCAGUGUGACAGGUUCAACAAGAGCUUUACACUUUACACUUAAUACAAUAAAUCACAUAGAAUCAUAGAGCCACCAAGGUUGUGAAGGCCCUCCAAGAUCAUUCAGUCCAACUGUCCACCUACUGCCAGUAUCUCUCACUAGACCAUGUCCCCCAGUACAGCAUCUAAACGUUUCUUGAACACCUCCAAGGAUGGUGACUCAACCACCUCCCUGGGCAGCCUGUUCCAGUGCCUGACCACUCUUUCAGAGAAUGAAUUUUUCCUUAUGUCCAACCUGAGCCCCCCCCCCCGGCACAACUUGAGGCCAUUCCCUCUAGUCCAGUUGUUAGUUAAGCGGGAGAAGAGGCCAACCCAUAACCUAACCCUAACCCUAAACAUCCUUUUAGGUAGUUGUAGGGAGCAGUAAGGUCUCCUUAGAGCCUCCUCUUCUCCACACUAAACAAUCCUCAGCCGCUCCUCGUGAAGCUUGUACUCCAGACUCCUCACCAGCUUUAUUGCCCUUCUCUGGACAUGCCCCAGGGCCGUCAUGUCUUUCUUGUAGCGUACUCAUUAUGACCUAUAUACGACUAAUCCUGAAGGUUUUUAUAUAAGGUGGCACUAGCAACACCCCAACCAAUACCUGCUGUGCGGUAGCCAGCCUAGGACUUGGUGAACUUGAAGCUUUGAAGGCGAAAAGUGAGAAGUGUGAGUGUUGAAGCUGAGAGCACCUCUUCCAUCAGACAGUACUCACAGUUCUUCCUUGGCCACUUUCAUACCUGAGUCUGGGUUUAGAGCUCCCUAGUUAAAGGGAAUACCUCUCUUCAAAACUAACUUAUUUUAACAUAUAUCUCUUAUUUUCAACCUCAAAUUGAAUCUUGAGAUGAGCUCGGAACAUUUUAGUUUAAUGUAUUACGGGCUAGCAUGUGUCCUAUAGAUAAUUAUCUUUUUAUUGAAAAGCUUGUACAAUAAUUUUAAAAUACAAUUAGUAAAUAAAAGGUUUUCUCAGAUAAUGGGUUUCCUGUGAUAAAACCAAGGAGAACCUUUGUCUCAGUGCUUUUUCAGCUCUCACCAAGUUUAUUUGUGUAUUAUGUGUCACACAGGCUAAGAUCUCCUUGGGGAUUUAUUCAGCUAGUGACCGUUAAUUGAAAAACUCAUUUCAGAUAAUCCUUGUGGAUGAAAUUAACCUCUUGAUUCUGAUGAAGUCAUACAUAACCAAUUUCAUUGUGAAGAUAUAUUCUAGGUUUAUUUUUAAAUGUCAGUUUGGGAUGCUUUUUUUUUCUUUUUUCAUUAGCUAUUAUACUAUACUUUUUUUUUUUUAAAGAAUAUUAUUGUUGCUCUAUUAAAAUAUAAGAAUAAUCAUACAGUUCUUUGUGGUCAUACUGCAUUACAAGCUUUAGAAGGACUAUAAAACUGUCCUUGCUGAUUUUCCAUGCUAACAAAACUAUUCCUAAGCCUGACUUGCAUAAUUCUUAAUCUGUUCUAAUUGCAACAUAAUCGCACAUUGUUUUGUCCUUCUAAUAAAUAUUUAGAAUUAAACCUAUAUAGGGAUCUUGUAUCUCUCUAGCAUAGGAGUAGUGUGUCUGUGAGGCUCCCUCUAAAAUCUGUAGGGAGGGAUGGUGUCCUGAAUCAGUUUACAAGCAGAUAAUUAUUUUGCAGAAGUGAGCAGCAGUACAUUCUCUUUCUCUUGCUAAAUAUUUAAAUAUUUUAAACGCUGUGCUGCAUGCAAACUCUAAUACUGUGUGCAUGGAUUAAGUCUUCAGCAUGCUGUCAGAUUUCUGCUCUUUAGUACCUUGCAGCCUUGAAGAUGAGAAGCCAACCAAAAUGGCUCUUUUGGUGUUCCAGAGUAUAUAUGCAUACCUAUACAUAAACCAGUAGCAAUCUAGUUGUCAUACAAUUUUUAUAUAAAAUUACAUGUUUACACAUAUGCUGUCAGAUUAAAAGACCUGAAUUAUCAAAUCAUCAGAAGUCAGAAAAAAGAAAACCAGCACUAGCUGAUGAUUCGUCUGAAAUCCAUUGCCUGAGCUUCCAAGCAUGAGACUGUGCUGAGAACCUGAUAACAUACUGUUUUCUCCAGCGUCCUGUAUCCCUCAAGGCACAGGAUGUAUUUACUACUUUCCUUGUGAUUUAUUCUCUGACAUUUAUCAUACAGCAGCUGAACAUUUCCCCUUACAAACUACCUUCAUAGUAUUUCUAGUGAGGCAAUUGGUUGCUUGGUUGGUUGGUUUUGGUUUAUUUGUUUUUACUGUUCUAUGGAUUAGCACCUAAAGGAGUUGAAGGUUAGUUUUUGGUAAUUUUAGAAGCCCAGCUAGAGAUGCUUUGGCCCUGAUUUUUAUUUUCUCAAGAUUUAGAGCUAUAUAGGAUCUUCUGAAUUUAGUGCACAUAUCUCACUGGCUUCCACUGCAGGUGUACCAGCUUAGCACAUCUACACAUCGGACCUUAGGACUUCCUGUAUACAUCCAAAAAGUGAGGGACAGGCAAUUAGUGAACAUGUGCAAAGGGUUUGAUUCUAUCUUGCAUGACAGGCAACAUACAGGAACUUUCUGGCACAGAAAGGAAUAAAAGGCAGUUCUCCAGCCCACACUGAACUCCUGUAAUCACAGCACUGCAUUUCCUCUUUUUGCAACUCCGUGCUAUAUUUGCUACCAUAGUCCAAUUUAGUCAUCAGAUGCUGCCAGAGAAAGUGAAAAUCAGUUUAUCUCUCAGAGUGUGCAUGUAAAGUGCACUUCAUCCUUGACCGUGCAUUAAGUGAUUUCAGUUCUCAGUGCCUGCGUAUCUUGGAGCUCCCGCAUACCCUUCACACACUACACUCAUGGUUAAGAAGUUUGUAUGCAGCAGCUUAACACGAUAUGAAAGUACAACCUUUUUUCCCCGUGUACCUAAAUCUUGAUUUUAAUGGAGAGUCAGUGUUAACCUCUAACAUCCUAGUAUAGUGCAUGCUUUUCUUUAGUAGGCUGUGUGCUGUUUUCUCUUGUGCUGGUAUUAUGAAGAUGUGGGUCUUGGUAGGGCUGAUGCAUUUCAGAAAGUUUGAGGGCUCAGGAGAAAAUUCUGCACAGUGUUUGAAUCUCUCAAGGUGUGUGGCUGCUCAGUGGGAGUGGGAGCAUCAAUUUCAACCUUGAUUUUAGUGUUCAAAAUUGAAUUUACCUCAUCAAAUGUGUAUAAUGACUUUGGGCAAAUUUUCACACUGAAAACAAGAAGUAGUUUUUAUGUUCAGGCUCAACUGUAAGUACUGUGGAGAUUUUUCCAGAAAUUAGAUUUUUUCUAAAUGAAACCUCAAAUUAUUUUAAUCAAAGACAACAACCCUACUGUGUAAUGCAGAAAGGAACAAGGAAGUCUUUAAUCCAAAUAGCUGAAUUUUGGUGAAAGUAGAAACUGCUGAAGUUGAGAUUUUCUAGCAAAGUUCAGGCAAUAUUAUUAUAUGGUGACAUCCCCAUGGUUUUAAUCAAGCUUAAUUUCAAACAGAAACUUCUGUGAGCAAGACUGUGUCUGAAGAGAGAAUGACCCAAUCUGAGUCAUUAUAACCAGAUAUUAUAUUGACCCAAAAUGUAGUGCUGUGUCAUUUGAAUCAGAAGCAGAUGGAAUAACCCAGAAUCAUCUCCUUACUGGUAUGUACUGGUGCUGCCUGCACAGAAGCACCUGGAAAACAGAGAAUUUCUGCUUAAGUUCAAGUAUUAAUAUACACCAAUGUGGUCGUGGGCUGCAGGGAUGAUAUGGUAUAGCACUGUACGCUACCACCAGCAUGAUAUCUAGUUAAAAAUGUACAAAAAUUGUCCUUUUAAUUUUAUUACACUCUUAUAGAGAAAAGGCUGAUAUAAUAGUGGAAAGUAUGGUCUCUCUGGAAACAGUUUCUCUCCACGUAGGUUAAAAUAGGAGAGACUUUUGCUUAUGAUCCCCUAGCAAGAAGAAUUUGGACCACUUACAAGAAGAAAAACUAGUAAAAAAUAUUAUCAAGUAGAUUACUAUUGUCAAUGAUAUAUAUCUGAAUUACCUGAGACUUCAUUAUCCUCAUUAUCUUCAGGGCUUGUAAGAAAGCUGUAGGUGAAUUAUCCUACCCUUUCUCCAAGAAUAAAAAGGGAUCAUGGUGCUCUUGACACAUAAUGGUUUUGAUUUUGUGGGAAGUAAGGAAGACAUCUCCUUUCUUUUUGUCAUGAAAGAUUGUUGCAUUCCCAACUUGCUAGCACUGAGAAGAUAAUGUGAGCCUCCCAUCAGCAAGCUCAAUUAGAGGGGUUAUUCUGCUCCCAUACCAACUGUAACUGUGAGGGGCAACCUCAUUAGCGCAUGGCCUGCUGAAUACAGACAAUAUUUUUGCCUUUUCAAGCUGGAAUGCAUUUUUGCUGAUAACGUAUUCCUAGCAAUUAUGUUUUCCCCCAUCAAUGUUAUAUGUGUCUAGGGCUUUGGAAUAUGGGCUCUUCUUUAUGUCUGUCGCUGUUGAAAAUAUUUGGAAGAAAUAUAACACACCAGCCUCCAGCUCAUGCGUGGCUGUUGGCAAAAUCCCUACCAGUCAGCUUGCACUGGCAAUACACUGAGAAAUGCAUUGUAGGUGCCUGUUCAAGUGUUUCAGUGCUGAGGAUGUAAUUCAAGCGUUUUGAGCACCCUCCUGCUAUUGAAAAUGGAAACGUUUCUUUGUAACUUGGACUUCAGAAAUGACAGCAGCGUUCUCUACAAGCACCUGAUUUACAAACAAAAACAGACAAACAACAACCAAAAACCAUGGUGAGAAACACUUAUAGACAGAUCUGUUUGUUAACUUUCUCUUAUUCCUGACAGCAAUGUUUUAAAUUGAAGAACAUGUUGACAGAAGAAUGUAUGCUUGCAAAACACAGAAAAAUAGAGGAAAUAGAAAUCCUUAGAAUUAGCUGUUCUAAGCUCUUCUCGGUAUGAAUAUGAUAAAGAAGAUUUUCUUGCAACGGAGAUAAUAAAUUAUUUUGUUUCUAUUAUUUGAUUUAAUGUGCUCUUUAACAUUUUCUUUUAACCAAAGUGGCAGAAAGUGGUCUUCACAGAGCUAAUUCAAUUAAAUAAUAAGUCCUUCUUAGUGGAUUAGAGAAAUGAGGAAAGUUGAGUAUUUCAGGAGGGAAAAGAAAAGCAAAUAUUAUCAACAUCAUAAUUAAUGCAUAAACCACAGGAAAUGUUAUUAUGAAGUUUAUGUAAUUAUAUGAUCCAUAUGCAGUUUCCCUACGAGUAAUCUGAAGAGUAUUUUCAUAGCAGCAAUCAUCCAUUUUUCUGAGCUGCUGUAGGACCAGUUUUGCUACAAGGGGUAUUCUGGAGACCCCUCCCUUGUAGAAUAAAGGACAGCAGAUGUACUCAGUUUGCUCUGUUUUGGCUUUUUUUUCUUUUCCUGUGGUGGAAACUUAGUGUAUAGCUGUUUUAAGCUACUAAUAAAUUAAUUACAAAUGAGAAACUUCAGCAUUGAUUUUUACCUGUUCAAGCUACCAUCUAAUAACAGAAUCAUAGAAUCACUCAGGUUGGAAAAGACCUUAAAGAUCAUCGAGUCCAACCAUGACCUAACCAUACUACCCUAACUAACAACCCUCUGCUAAAUCAUGUCCCUGAGCAGGGAAUGUAUUUUAUGGAAUAUGUUAUUUUUAUAUCUCUGUAUAAUAUUAUAUAUUUAUAUUACAUGUUUAUGGAACAUAUAUAUUCAAAAGAAACACUUUAUAAGAAAAUACCCCUUACCUUUCCAUCCUCUUAAACCAUUAAUUCCUUGAGGUUUAUUAUGUUGUUUUUGUACUUAGGCAGUGACAUAGCUAACUUGAUCUCAGAUGUGUAAAAGUUAGGCUUCUAGUCUGCAUUGCUCAUUGUCCAUAUUGCAAAGAUGGACACAGAAAGAUAGAAAUCCUUGGACAGUGUUUUGCUCUCCUUCCCUCUUUCCAUUAAUUUUAAGAAAAGCUCAAGCACAGAUGCUAGAUUUUUAGGUGGCUGAAAUUUGAUUAAAUGAUGCUGUGAUUAGUGCUGGGCUCUCCACAUUGGUGUUUUCCACUUUUCCUACUCAGCCUGGGGGAACGUUGAGUAGAAGCAACAUGCUGCACUUUAUCUUUCCAGAACAGACCACUUCCCGUGAGGAUUUUGGGCCAAACAGAACAGUUUCCAAGUGCUGUAUUCAAAAUUUCUUAUGAUGCUCAGCCUUAUUUUGAAUUUUGCUUGGUCUGGUUUUGCUUAUGUAGCAGAGCUGAUGGCAUCUGCUGGGAUGGUUUACAGACUGCAGUUUUCUGUCUUCAUCUAGAAUCAAUAUGAACACCAUAAAAAAGAUGCUGUGGGUUAUUAAAAUCAUUUUAACAACAUUGUUGACUCAACAAGAGCAAGAAGAUAAUGCCUAAGGAUUCUGAAUUUUUCACUGUUUUUUUUUUUUACUGGAAAAAUAAUAACUUGGUUCAGGCACAUUUGCUUGAGUGCUGUUUUUUUUUUUUAAUAACUGAGCCUGCUGCUUCACUGUUGUAGCUCACAGUGGAUUAUAAGCCUGGUUGUUAUACUACUUUACUCUCUGUGAAUCUUGUUAACAAGGUGACUAUGCAUUUUGUAAGGAAAUAAGUAAUGACUGUAUUAAAAUACAGACCAAGCAUUUUUUUGAGAAAAUGGGGCUUGCCUUUCUUGUCUGGUCCUUUGUGGUUCAAAAUCUUACCCAACAGUGUAUGACUUUCUAGAAUAAAAUACAAAUUCCAUACUAUGGUCAUUAAGACCUCCAAAAUGGAAACCUGGGUGGCUUAAGAAUUAGUUUGAGAUAUUUUCCAAUGAGCAUAUCCUUUGAAAAAGCGUUAUUGAGACAGAAGUUCUUCCUGAGAAAAUAUUCCUCUUGCUGUGUGGAAGGGACGAGUCAUUCUCUGAAAAGGUAUCUUGUCUGAAGCAGUUGGUGGGAGAUUACUGAGUGCUGCUUCUGCCUCUUUUGGGUUAUGGAGGGCAGUCCCUGAAGGUAACAUUGCCACCUUGGGCUCCAGUGUUGUAAGUGUUCAUGUAGGAAGUUCUGCCAAGAAAAUUAUUACCUAACCCUUGAAAGCUGCUUGUUACCUUUAGAACAGGGAGACCAAACUCUGAUGCUCUUCUCAAAGCAGAGGAAUUUAGCCUUUUUCACAUACAGUAGAACUAUAUCUCACUACAUUGAGAUUUUCUUACUCUAAGGUUGUUUCUUCUGAAUGGUGACUUUGAGAAACUGUUCCUCAGUGAAUGGCUGCAAAGUCUCUCUAAUAGCUGUUCUGUUUCUGAUCUGUCUGUAAUUUAAAGAUACUUUUUUUUUUUUUUUAGAAGUAUUUAAAUCUGUUUUAAAUAGUAAGAAAAUCGUGAGCUUUUGUUAUUUUUCUGUUUUGGGGUAAUUAAGAGAAGAGUUCUGCAUUACUGCUAAGAAGGUUGGGAUGACUGCUAGUGAAGUACUCACGAGGGAGUUACUAAUCCAUUAAUGUGCCGUCCAUUUUUCUUCUGUUGGUCCUUUUUUCACUUGAGUGCUUGAGACAGUCUGCCCCUGUGUCACUUAAAUAAGUGGUAUGUUUUAUUCAUUCUCUUAAAGAACAGAUGUUAUGGUUACUCUCCUAUGUAAAGAGUGGUGGAGUGGUGAUGUUUAAACAGUUUUUAUGAUAAUGGAGAUGUUUAGUCAUGUUUAUGUGAUUAGGGAGAUAAUACAUGCCCUCUAUUCUGUAACUUGAGACAAGUUAUGGUCAUGUGUGAAACAGCAAGUGCCAUAUAACGUUAAUUGUCUUCACUUGCUGUAGUUAUGGGAAGUCAUUUCAGAGUUCUUGCUCAUUUUUGCUUUAGAGGAGGUUGACCUGUGAUUCUGGCCAUAUAUUUUGUUUGCCAAAUGGAAGAAUUGCUCUCAUUCCCAAAUACUUCAGCCUAAUAACCUGGCUUUAAUAUUUGACUUUAAAUUGAAUCUUGUUCCCACUGCUGAAAAUAGUGGUUAGCUAAGUUACAGAUACAAUACUUAAUCCUCUCUUCUUUGAAAACUGCGGUAAACUGUCUUUCAACAUGGCUUUGCUUUGUAGAUAAAGGGAAAGGAGCGCGCCCAAAUGCUGUCUGCAGCAAGAAAAUCUGUUCUGUCGUUGCUAUUAUGCUCUGGGAGCUUCUGCACCUCUUGUUGUGGCCUCAGGUCAGCCAAAGGCUUGCAGGAUUGCUUACAUCUAGUUUCAGCAAAGCAUUCAAUUGUGUGCUUAACAUUAAAUUCAGCAGGACUUUUACACACACUUAACUUCAGCGCUUGCCAUUAUCAGUAAGAGUGGUUUGCUCCAUUGGGAUUACAGGAAGGAAAAACAGAUUAUCCCGGUGAGGUGGAUAUCUGUGGAUGCCUGUAUUUGUACCAACAUCAAAGGAAUCUUUUUUUCAACUCUGGAGCACUCACAUCAAAACCACAAUGCUUCCUUUGCAAUCAUGCAGUUAGCAAAGGAAAGAAAGCAAGCUCUUACCUCCCUCUGAAAACAGCCCACAUAAUUCCACAUCCCAGCUGCUCCAUCAGGAUGAGGAAGGGCACCUGGAACUGCCCCAUCUCCCCUUGAUGUUGCCAAAGAGGGGUGGAGAGGAAAGGUUUGUUUCUGUGGAAGGAAGUCUGUGAAGAUCCACCUGCCCUGCUGUUUGAGUCCCCCUUUUUCUAUUCUCCCCUUGGAAAAAGUCAUGUCUCCUCACUGUAUCUGUCUUUUCUCAUUCACUAGUUUCCAGUUAAUCACCCAGUGCCUGACCAUUCCUCUACUCAACUUUGGCAGGAUAGAACCUGCUACUUCCAUUUUUGACACAAAAUUCAUAUUAAUAAGAGCCAAGCCUAUACUGACUAACAGUCUAAUGCUAAUCCAGAUAUACUGCCACAUUUUUGCUUAGGAUCCACCUGAGAUACUGUGUUACUUGGCACCCACAGAGCAUGGGAUUUCACAGUUGUAUUGAUUUCUGACACAGUACUUCAUUAAAGUCACCAAAAGAAGAUGGGGUAGGGGAAAUAUAGAACAGACCUACUAGCAAAUUAACAAUUGGAUGGAAGCAUGUGAUCAUCCUUUAUGAUAGAUAUGGGCUACCAGCUGAUUCAUGUAUCUGUGUCGAUCAUGUGUGAGCUAGGUCUGUAAAAGGGAAUUACAUUCAGUUGACAGAAGUCUGCAUGUGAUACAACAUUAUAUAUUGAUAGUCCUUGUUUGUUAACUUAUUUUCUUUUCAUUUGCCACUGUUAUAAGAGGAGCAUUUAAAUGCAUAAGAUUUAUUCAUAGUAGCAGUAAUGUUAGCCUUUCUAGCCUUUAUGAGUAUUCACUUGAUUGAAGCCUGGAAAAGCCUCAUGCUCUAAUUAGAGACUCUCUGCAUUAGAAUUCAGAUCUGUUGCAGUCCACGUUUUGAAGGCCAGUUCUUCAGAAAUGAUACCCAAGCUAACAUUUUUCCCAACGAACCACACUAUAUUACUACAUAGAGAGAUCUCAGGGGCAAAUUUUCCAUUUGUUUGCAGUACUGUGUGGAGUAGGCUUGAGUUCUGGACAGACUGGCACCAGAAGGCUGGAAGGAAUUCAGAGAAAUCCAUCAGUGAUGAUUAAAGAUUUAGAUUUCACAAAGACAUUUUAAAAACUAAUUAUAUAGAAUUUGUCUGGAGGAUUAAGUAACAGUAUGCCAGUGGAGAAUUAUUCUCACAGGAGAAAGCUAAUUUCUGUUCCUAAAUAAAUAAGUAAAUAAAUAGUACUAAACCUUUGCUUUGCUAGUCUAUAGAAAUUGCAUGCUGGAGGACAGUAUAAUUUGUAGCCGGCAGUGUCCUUGUCUAUGUUAUGUUACAUGAUCAGCUUAUUGUUACUUAAUGUAUAGCUGUGUUCUCAUCCCAAUUACUGUUUUACACUUCUCUUCCAAAUUUUGAGUGAAGCUGAUGGUUAAUUAGCCAUUCAGCAUACACUAUGAUUGCCCACUGGGUGCUUCAGAGCCAUCAAAUGACUAGACAGCCAAUUUAGUAGAGUUUGAAGCAAUCAGUGGGAAUGUGGAAGGUGGAGUCCCUCAAACCUUGCAGUUUUUGGUCGGGAAAGGAAAAACGGAAUUACUCUGUGCAGUUGUUAAACAUCUCUAGCAUAACAGGGCUUGAUUCUGAUUAGAUGUCUGACUACUCAGAAGCAUUGAGUGGCUGUGCUGGUUUUUGGUGGAUUAGCUCAAGUACAUGGGAUCUUGAAAAUAAUAGUGCAAUCACAUGCUUGGAAAAUAAGAGAACAGUAUCUGCUUCUGUCAGGAAGAGCCUACAGAAAGUAGAUAUAACGUCCUAUGUGUGUGUAACAUUUGUGUGUGUAGUAUGUACGACCAACUUCAACGGUCAUAAUAGGAAUGUACAUCUUUAUUUCUGUUCAGCACUCUGAAAUUGCUGAGCCAUAAAUUUGCAUUUUCUAGGCUUUUUCGCAGUGAGAAAUGAUUGGGAGUAAUUUCUGUUAAAAAUAUCUUACACAUGCAAGUAUUUUCACAGAUAAAACAUCGUGUAGUUGCUCAGAGGUGCAGAAAAGGCAGCGUGGUUUUGUUGAUCAUACUUGGAUCUGUGUAUUAAUUGAAUGUAUGAUUAACUCUUUGGCAGAAAAAAACUGUUUGACAUCUGAAUGAUUUCUCAGGUACUUCUGGUUUGCAUGCUUCCCUCCUGUUCCUGUUGCCAUUUAAACUGAUCAUCCUUUGGUCUGUAUGAGGUUAAUUGAUACUUAAGGAUUAGACCACUAAUAAGCAACUGAUACAGACUUGUUUUAAGAUGCAGAAAAAUUCUGUACAUGUGUUUUUGUUUGUUGAUUUGUUUGUUUGUAUGCAGAAUGAGAGUGGCAGCAGAAUAUUGCAUGCUCAGGAUGUCAAAAUGUGAUUAUAUUCAUCACAGUCGUACUUUGGUUUCAAAAUCAGUGAAAUAUCAGGCAGGAAAAUAUUGUCAUCGUUACCAUGUAAGUGAGCAUUCUUAUCCUCCAAUAUAAAAUAUCUGGUGAAAUCAGUAAUCGAUUAAUACAAUUUUUAUUACACUUAGUAUAAUAAUUUUACUGAGCUUGUUUUGUACACCUUAUGCAUGAAUAGUAAUGGAAGUUUCCAUGUUUCUGACAAUUGGCUAUUGCUUAAUUUCAAGAGAUUCUUAUAAGAGAUGCUAAGGCCCAGAGCUUCCAUUAGGAUUCAUUUCACGCAUCUGGGUAGUCUUCUUGCCACAAUCUUCAGAUGUUUGUAUUGUCACUGGUACAAUUCCCUUGAAGCUAAAGUUGAAGAAAUCUUUAUUGAUAAGUCAACUCUGUUUGCCUUUUACCUUAACUGUAAGUAGAUGAAAACCUGUAUGUGCAUUUGUACACAUCUGAAUAUUUUAGGUCUGUGUUUCCUAGUUUAGAUGGAAUCCCAUGCACUAUGAAAUUCUCAGUCAUAAGCUUAGCAUAUAGCUGAGAAUUUUUAAUCAUGUGCCUCAGGUCAGCACUCUUUAUGCAGAAUACUUUGCUUAUUUGGUGAGAAGGAAGGCUGUUAUGUUUUCAAUUACUGAAAAUCAAAUAAGGACUGUAAGAAAAGGAUACUAAGAUAGCAUGGGGAAGUGAAAAACCCAGAGCACUGAACUUGAUGAUAAACCAUAAAUAAAUAAAUAAAUAGGAAAAAGCAAUGAAGAAAGAGCUCAGGUCCUAGAUGUUUUACAGAGAUUCCCAGUAACAUAUUAGGAAUAGCCUAACCCCUGUGUACAGAUACUACAUUCCCUCUUAAGCACUGCAGAUGUCCGUGAAAACAGGCGUGACUGGAAAACAAAAGCCAAUGAGGAGCUGUAACAGGAGCAUGGAACAAUCCAGUUUUUACUGGUUAAAUGAGUUAAAGCAUGAAAGAGAGAGCUGAAACCAUAAUAAGGUGAAAGACGUGCAUGAAAUGGCAAAGGAUAUUUUAGAAUGCUCACAAGUGAUGAGUGGGCUAAAUGUUCAAAUAGUUCAGAAGAAAUAACCUUUAGAAAUCCUCCUGGCUGACAUGAUUUACUGUUUUGUUUUGUUGUUGUUUUUUUUUUAAUCUGACCAAGAUAAUCCAUUCAGCAAGUCCUCAAUAAAUUGCAGUUAAAAUAAGCCCAUUUAAAUAAAGCCCAUUUAAAUAACAAGAUUAAGUUAGGAUAGUUUGAACAUUUUUUUUACAUCAAGCUGCAAGGUACUCUGAAUUUUGGAUUUUUCUGGCUGUUAUGAUAGUCAUUCAUGCCACCAGUAUCUCUGGAAGUCCACUAAUUAAAUACUCAUAUUGUGCAGUUCUUCAUCUCUGGAAAGCUCUGGAAACUCUUCUGGCAAUGUAUAGCUAUACAAAACCAUCUUCCUGUGAUUUGAAGUAGCGGUGUUUUGGAGAGAUGAAUCGAAAAGAAAUCAUAAAUCACACUUGAAGACUUGCUUCCUUUUGGCCUCUUAGAAUUUCCUAAAGUCAAAGAAGCCUCCACUUCCAAAUCUAACAAUCCAGUAGUACUGAGUAUACACAUGAUUAAAACCUUAAUAUCAAAUUCACUUUGUGAGAGAGUGAGAAACUAACAAAUAAUCCUGUUUUUUUUUUGGUCUUUUGAUCUCCAGAUCAAUGCUUAGCUGUCAGUGUGAGCUGCAUCUUAAAUAGACAAGGAGGACUUGAUCUAUCUACAGCAUCUGCUUUAGAUGAUAAAAGAGACAGUUUGACCUAGCUAGAAAGUGUUCCUGAGACACAGAAGAUGAAUAUUGUUUUAAUGGCCUGCAAAUUUAAGAACGAAAUACAAGUGAUCUGAAAUACUCUAUUGCCAUUGCUGUAAAUAAACAAUUAGCAGCUCAGGCUAAUGAAAUGGUUGUUCUUUGGAAAUUUGCAGUACUAAACAGCAGAUAUGCCAAGUGGAAGUUCUGUGCAUUACGCUUUACGUUCCCUUUGUGGAGUUAAAGGUUAAAAUAGUUUAGCUUUGUAUUGGAAAUUUAUGUAACCUCUCUUCUUACCAUCUCUAAAAGACUGCAGACUGACACUUUAUAUUGGUGAUUCUUAGCCUGUGUAUUGCUUUAGCUGAUUCAGUGGUGGUUGAAUUUCACUACAGUGCAUGGCUGGUUGUGGUACUCUUGUAUGCCUGUAAUUUAAAACGUAGAUGAUAGGUGGAAGGAUAUACUUGACAGAUAUAGAAAUAAUGUUUAGAUCUGUUACACCUAUUCAAUUCAACAUGAUUUUUAAAUGCUUCCUCUCUCUGAAGACUUUCCUUGUUUAUCAGAUACCCACCAUAUUUUACUUCCACGGUUACUCCCUUUUUCCAUCCCUGCUUUAUACUGGUAACUCUAUAUUUGCAUUUUCCUCCUCUUUAUAUUUACUGCUUGCUCAGACUGUCCCCUUAUAUUUAAAGAAGAAAUACAGCAACGCUGAACAGAACUCAAGUACCGCAUUUGAAUGUUUAAACUGAGGCAGUACUUUGGGAAACGUACCCAUUUUAACUCCCUCCAUUCAAUUAUUUACUUUAUUUUGUAGUCGUUCCACUUCCCUUUCUUCUUCUGAUAUGCUGUUCCAGCAUGUGUCACAAUUUACCUCAGGCACGACGGAAUUGCGAGCAGUCACCACGUUGACUUUGAGCUAUAAGACUGGAAGAAUGAAUUCCACCUGGGUGGUGGCUAGAUUGUGUUAAGGUGUUCGUAAAAGAGAGGAGAUAAUGUUUAUUAUUUUUUAUUAGGGUUUUUUUUAUGAGUAGGCCCAGCCUCAGAUAACAAGUCAACAGUGCUAAAUGUUACAGAAGCAGAAAACUAAGAUUUUGUGGCAUACUUGAAAAAUCAGGGUAGCAAACCAUUUUUUGUUUUAAGUCUUCAUCUGUAAUGUAGAAAACAGCUUUCUUUAACUGUGGCUUUAGAUUAUAAAUGUGACUGUGGAGAAACUGUCCCUCCAAAAUACAGAUAAUUAGGAUAGGAUGCUCCCCUUAUCCAAGCUCAUUAUAUUACUCUGCCAUAAAAGACCUCGCUGAGGUAGAGUUGCUGUAGCAUCUUUCCUUUUAUGAAGUCUGCAUUAAUUAAUCCAUAAAUGUAUAACUUCAUUUUUAGGUUGUCAGCUGUGUAUGUUUUUCAAGCUUUCCAAGCUCUCGUUCUUUUGUCUUUGAGUGAAAAUUUAUUCUUUCAGAGGUUGAGACAUUGUAAUGAGCUAGACUCAUUAACAAACCAUUGUAGCAUUGAAAUACAAACCUCUGGAUAAGGAGGUGCUCUACUUUGUUGCAAACGUCUGCAUGUUUGAACAGUGAGUGUUCAGUCAGGCUGUCCUCCACUUUCCAUUUCCUAACAAAUAAUUUAGUGUUUGUAUUACAUAAAAUAUCUUUGACAUCUUACCUACUAUCUGUGUCAACCAGUAUACAUGAAACAAAGGAUGAGAAAAAAUAAGAUAAUCUUCAGAUCUUGCAGUUGAUAGAAAUGUAAUUGCUUAUGCGAUCUUUCCACAUACUCCAAAUACACACUUGAGGAAAAAAUGUAGGUGGCCAUGUGCUCAAUUCUGACAAAACAGGGUUUUUUUAUAGGCCAGAAAUACCCAUUUUUUCUUUAUAUAUAUAUAUAUAUAAACCCACCAAAACUGAUAAAUCUCAUUCUGACUGAGGGACAUUACGUGGGGGUAUAACCGAAUACAUUGCUGCUGUACCCAUACAUGAAUACAGGAUGAAGUGACCUUUUGUUGCCCGCAAUUUCCAGCCAAAUCUGCAGAGCUGUGCUUGGAUAAGUGCAGAACCACAUGAAAUACUGAAACUGUAAAUAAAUAUUAGAAGAUAAAUUUAACUGAACAGAUAUUGGCCUAAAAAUAUAUCACUUAGAAUAUCCAUUAUUAUAGCCUAAGACCCAAUAAAUGCCUAAGUUCUUUGUUUGUAAAAUUAUUUCUUAUAAAAAAUUAUAACUGUGUCCUGCAUCACAAUAGAUACAUGUGCUGAUGCAGAAAAUUAGGUUAUACGUACUUUGUGCUUUCGUAGUUACUGUGGUUAAUGGAUAAAACUACUGAUUCACAGUAAAGAUUUAUUAAACGAGGUAAAGUAGUGACAACACAUUUAGUAGCCACAAAUUCAUGUUCCAAGUUAAACUCAAGUUGGUAUAGUGGAAGUGUCCACAAAGAAGGCAGAAAUCGAGUCUAAAAAUAUGGGAGUGGUGGGUUAGUGCAGAAGGUCUGUAAGCAAAAGAAAUAGAUGACAAGGCUAAAAGCAAGCAGAACUAAAGCAGAAAGAGCUUUCCAGGCUGUAGAUACUUUGGGAGUAUAAACUUCUAAGGGGAGAAAGAACUUAAAGCAGGAGUGUCCAGCCCGUGGCCCUGGACAGCAAGCAAUGUGGCCCCACACGAUCACAGACUUUUAACACUGUAUUGUGAUUUUUAACAAUAUUUUUCUAGAGUCAAUUGCACAUAGCUUGAGCGUGGACUGCAUGGGCAAUAGCAGAAUGCUGUGGAAGGGAGGGCUCAGUGCAGUGCGAACUCCACCUCUCGCGCUCACCACACACACUUCAACCUACCUACAGAAGUAUGUGCCCGUGGAGGCACAUGUUUUCUGUUAUUAAGAAAAUAUGUAUAUUUUCUUGGGCUUGUGUUAUUUUGUUAAAAUAAUUUGAUAAGUUAGCAUGUUCAUUAGUUUCACAAAAAUGAGGCCAAAUGUCCUGCAAGUUUUAUGUUGUUGUUGUCCUCUUUUUAUUAAUGUUUUAAUAAAUAGAUAAAUAUAGAUACAUAUAUAAUAAAUAAAUAUAUAUAUAUACAUAUAUACAUGUAAGUUUUGUUACUUACAUGCAUUAGCUAUGUUAUAUAGUUUAUAUAUGGCCCAAGACAAUUCUUCACACAGUGCGGCCUAGGGAAGCCGAAAGGUUGAACAUUUGUGACUUAAAGGGAACACCAAAAAGUAAACAGAAUCAUUGUAAUCUCCCAUGCACUUUUUAAAAAUAAAACUAAUGUAGUCCAAGUCUGGUCUAGACUGAAUAUAAAUUAAGAGACUUUUCUUCCAGCCUUUUAAUUUAGCUAGCAAACAGCUGUCCCACACUUAUCAUAAGUUUUGCAGCUCUCUUAUUUUUGUCCUCGACUGUCACCCCAUGGUCUUACUGAAUAACCACACACCCCCUACAGCAGGGCAUCGUGUGAAAAUACAGGUAGACAACUUGAAAGCUGAUUAAGAAUUUUAAUCCGUUUUAUUCACUCUUUCUUAUUUUCAAAAUAAUAUUUGAAGAUACAGCCUCAAGAUUCAUAAAACAUAAUGCUAAAGAUUAAGAACAGGCUAUAAGGUAACAAAAGCAGCUUUUUUCUUUUCUCUUAUAUAAAUUCUUCUUAGCUAGUUUUCUUAGCUAUUAUUAUUCAUCAUAUUUAAUUCCCAUUGUCCUUUUGAUAAUUUUUUUCCUUGUACUGUAAAAUGAAAAAUGAUGCAAGUUUCCACUCUAGAAUGCAUGGCAGUGCUAGAAACACAUCAUUUACUAACCAUGAGUAUUGAUUGAACUGCGGGGAAAUUAUUGCUUAAUUUAAAGAUGUGAAUGCUGUAGUUUGACCUGAUGACUAUAAAAUUCUCUGUCAAGUGUCAGACAUAUUACUAAUUAGAUAAAAUGGCCCACAGAAAUACUUUGAUGAUAGUCACAAUUUAGUAUGCUCCUGCAAAUGAAUUCUCAGACUGUAGUGUAAUUAACUUGUCAAUGUAUAAGUCUUUACACUUACUGCUUAGGGUAUUGUCUGGAAUUAUGAAAUAAAAUCUUGUUGUUGUAGGGCAACAGGAAUUCUACAUAGUGAAAAUAUUACCUAGAUGAGUUCAACAUUUUACGUCUUUGUAGUGCAAAGCGAUAAGUUACAAAUGGAUAUGAGAUCUCAAGAGCAACUUCAGGUUUAAAAACAAGGGAUGGACUACCAAGGCUAAGAAGUUUAGUAAUGUAUAAAUUCCCUUAUUAUUCCCAUUUCAGAUAUCUUAACUGGUUGUGCAUGAACAAUUCAGAAACUAUACUGAGUUUUUUUUUCUAUCUGUUGGGGACAUCUCCAUUAAAUAAUAUCAAUUUCCCCAUAUAUUUUAUAUUUCCACAAUAUGCAAUCCUGUAUUAUAUACACAUAUUUUAAAAAAAUCAUCAGAGUUGGUAUUAAAUUAAAUAAACGUGUACUAUAUAAUGAUCUGUAGAAAGUAAUGUGUAUGUUUGCCAUUACACAAGUUUGAGAAACAUAAUUUCUAUCGGAAGAUGUCUCCCUAUUAAAAUUAAAUGCAACAUAUUUUUCCGUACACAGAUGGAUUUUAUUCUGUAUUUCAUGCUGUAAGCAGUAUUUAAUUACUGAAAACAUGUUCAUCAGCUUACUAGUUUCUCAAUUGUCUCUUGCCCUCUUCACUUGGUUUCUUCCCUCCCAUCUCUCCUCCUCCAAAUGGUAAAAAUAAAUAAAGGAUGAGCUUCUGGUGUUUUCUAUAGAAAGUUAAGCUUUGCUGACAUUGACUAAUUUAUUUUACAGCUCACAUGCAUUUUGAAUUUAAAAUUUAAUCUGUUCAAAUCAGCUUGCAUUACCAGAGAAUUGUGCUUAGCAUGUUCCAUGAAUGAUUCAGUAGAUCUUAAUAGCUACCUUCGUAAUUUCUUAUGAAUCAUUGAAAGAGAUCACAUUAGUAAACAUUAGUGGUAAGUACUAAGCACGUUUUUCAUGCAAUCGUGUUUCAUGAAUGUAGUUGGUUCCAAAAUCUAUGUGUAGUUGUCAUGUGAAAAACUGCGUCUUGCAUCUUGUGUUUAUCGUGCUUGAAGAACACAGUGCUUGAUAUUUUUCCUUUCUUCAACUGAUCCGACUAGCCUGCUACUGCAGCACCCACAGCACAAUCACACAGGCUGCGAUACUCCAUGGACCAAAUGUAAAUGAUAUAAAUGUACCUCUUACUUCCAUAUAAAGCCUUUCUUCUAUUGGACUCACUUAUUUUUUAUAGUACUUCUGAAUUUCUGGGAAGACAAAUAUUUUUAAUAGCAAUUGGACAAAUCAAAAUAGCUCGUAGAAAUAACAAUUAUUAAGAGAGGUGGUUGUUUUGUAAACUUUAUGUCCCGGGGACAUUAAAAUAGCUCUUAAUUCAGCAGUAAGCUAGUGGAAUACUUUUUCUUAAUUAUGGUUCCCAUGAAUGUUUUAAUUAUGAAUGAAAAAUGCCAUUGUUCCUCGAGAGAUUAUAUUAUAUUGCAUGAUAUUAUUUAUUUAUUUCCAUCUGGAAAUAUUUAUUCUCCUCUUUUUUUUUUUUUAUUAUCUGCACGUUGAAAAGCUUCAUUAAACUUAAUAGUUGCAGUUAUUGUCUAUCACUUGUACUUACAAUCUUCCUUUUUGUUUUCAAUUUAUAUAAAUCCUAACACAGGCACCUUUUAAAAGUUGCAUUCAUUUAAGAAAGUUAUAUGGCACUAAGCAAGAAUAGGCUAGGUUUUAAUAUCAUAUAAUAUUCUGGUGUUUUCAUUAAACUGUUUCAAGUGUGACUCUUAUUAUAGCAUUGUUAUUGUAGUAACUGAACCUGUAGUCCACAAGUUUCUAAAUCAAUGGGUGGAUAAUAUAGAUUUGAAUUUAGGAAUGUCGGUGUAACUACUUACUUACCUUUUGUACCUUUCCUAUUCAGAAUAAUUGCAAUAUAAGUAGUGUUUCUCUUUAAAUUGUGAGAUGAAGGACCUGUAAUCCCUAACCCCUCAGAAACUGUUGCAUGCAGACCUCUGCAGAGCACUCAGAAUCAAGUGUGGUCAUCAGUCAUUAGCAAAAUCAGUCACACAUUGUUUUACUGACAGAGAGAUGUAACUUCACGCGAUAAGUUCAAAGUAUGGCAGUCCAAAGGGGUGGAGACAAGGUGCAUUUUUCUAAAAUUUAAAGCUGAUUUCCAUCGGUGUCAGAAAGUUUUAUCUAUACUUGUCUGUAACUGAAAUGAUCAAGUAACCCUUGUUGUGGUACCUCAAAAUUACUUAGCAUGCUUUUCACUACAGAGCAUGUUAAAACUCUGUCUACUGUAUUAUACUGUGGUGUAAUAAUAUAAAUAUAUUGCUAUAAAUAUCCACUAUUCAUUACAAUUCUACUUUGCAUUUUCUUUCUUUUAAUGCUAUAGCAUCCCAGAAUGCUGUGCAAUUGUGGUGUGCAGGAAUAACUGCAUAAAUGAUAAACAACCUGUCCAACAACCAAGGCAUCUGCUUUCUGAAGCAGGGAAGAUGAGUUGGAUCUUGAGCAGAAGACAUGGAUCUUCAGUAUAAUACAUUAGAUUCCUGUACAAAUAGGUACCAGCUUCAGGUGGACUGCAGACCUUUAAGGCAGCCUGCGGUAGAAUCUCCUUCUUUCCAGCGACCGUAGAGAGAUCACUGGGAGUUGUUCUAGUAGGACUUGUGUUUAUCAUCUUCUACCACUUGCUCAAAUAACUUGAUGCUCAGUUACCCUACUUGUUGCAGCACAACAGGAACAGAGACCUCCUUAUUUCACUUAGGCAAAUAUUAAUAACAGAAAGUCUGCGGAAGAGAGAGAGUAAGAAGCAGCCACUACAUAAAUGAUGCAGUGAGAUCAUGCAGCAGAGGUAGACUACAGCCAAUAGAUAAGGAAUAAUAAGGAAACUUUGCAUCUUUCAUCUACUGGAGUAAAUAAUAGGACUGACAACUGCCUCACUAUAUAUGGCUUUGAUUUUCAUCUUUGACAUUUUGUGAUAUGUUUGAUACAGACAGGACUCUCUUGUGGAAGCGCCGAACACUUAAAUCUGCAAAUUAAGUUCCUCAGAGAUAUGGUGGACAUUAAAUCUUAACAUUUUUUUAAAAAAGAGUAGGAUCUAAAUAUCCCAAGUUAGACACUAAGAAUCCGGGGAUUCAUUUUCUGUUGUCUUGGCUCUUACCAAUAAAUUAAUUUACCACCUCACAAAGAAAUGGAAUGCUAUCCAGUCCAUCCAGGGUAUUACUUAAAGUACACAUAACCAAGUUGACUGGAGGUGAGGCAAAAAUGUCUAAUUCUGACACUUCCCAAAAUUUCGAGUGUUUGCCCUUGCAACUGUGAUUCUUCAUAUUAUUUUUGCCUUUGGGAUGUUAUAUUAUGAAUAACUCAAAACAACAACAACAAAAUCUUAUUUAAAAGUGUUUAGAAAUUGUUAGAAAACACUUCUGCAUGUCAGGCAUGAAUUUUCCUCUUCAACAAGAGGUCAAAUUAAAUCCACAAGAAACAAAUUUGGUCUUAAUUUUGAGAUGUAAACAGUAAUUUAAGUAAAAUGUACCAUAUGUCUUUUGACAUUCAAGCAAGUCUUUCAUUUUCUAGAACAGAUCCAUUGUGUUCAGCUUAAGAACAGGUGCUAAAUUUCAACUUUAUUCGGGUAUUUCCUGAUUUCUUACUUCCUAUCAUAAUUCUGGUAUUAUAAAAAAAUAAAUAUUGUGUAGGUAUAUAAACAGGGUUAUAUUUAACUUUUUCUUUGGAAGGGUUAUAUCGGAGAACACUGAUUUACAAAGAUUGCUGCAAAAGCAGUGCCUCCUAUUUAUUUCAAUGGAAACUGCAACAGAUACAAAGAGCACAAUAACAGUAUUUGAUAGAGAAAAUUUUCAACUACAAAACUCGAAUGUUAAAAAACUGUAAAACAUAUUCCAGGAUUUUCAUCCAAUCAGAAUUCUUUGCCAAAUUUCACUUGAAAUCACAGGUAAUAUAGCUACGUCUAAAAAGGACAUUUUUAGUCAGAUUUACUCUCUGCCAAGAAAAUGUCUCUAUCUUUGCCAUUGUGUCCCAACGUUUAGCAGAAUUACAACUUUUAAGGCCAAGAAAAGAUUGUCUUCCUGUACUCUUCUAGGCCAUUGAGAAUGUGGGAUACCAUAGCUGAUUAAAAAAAUGACUUUGCAAUGUUAUCUAAGGUACAGCUAUCAUUAGUUUUGAUUACUGUAUAUAAAACUAAUCAGAAGUAGUGGUGAGAGAGCUUAUAUAUGCACAAACUUUUUUCACUGUUUCAAAUAUACUAAAGUAGGCAUGAAAGACAAAGGAGAAUUUUGGGGAAUUUUAAAGCCACAUUAAUUUUCAGAACAUAUGCUUUUUUCUGUUUGCUUUUAUUGACAAUGUUUCCUCCAGAACAAAAGAGCUGAUUGUGCAAAUGAUACUUUUGCAGGUAAUUAGUCUCUGACAUUUCUAUAGAUCAUAUUGGGAUUUUGCAAAUAGUUUGAAAUAAUUCAGCACCAAGUGUAGCUGUUUCAUUUCUUUUUUUUCAUGGAUCUAUUUCACAGUAAUAAUUUACAUGUUACAUUACCUGCAUGUAAAUUACGAUUUGUUUAAUUGGUAUGAGUACAGACAAUGUAGAAUUGAAUUGAACGCACCUGCUAAUUUUUCUCUCUCAUUCCAUCUUAUGUUUGCUCAUGAUUUUCACAUUGCUUUUAGGCAUUUUUGUAAUAUCAGGAAUAACUAGCACCUUACACUGCCCCUAAGUGUGCAGACUGCCACAUUCUCAGCUGAAAAAGCACUAUUUUUCAACAGUCAUCACCAUUAGCUCUGCACUUUCACUAGUGCACAAGAGCCUGUGUGUUGCACAGGUAAACGUGCACCAGCAGAGGUUACCCGCUGUCACUGUCACCACUGCUGAAAUAGACCACCCACAGCUUCACUGCACUCAAAUUCUCUCUUUGGUCUCCAGAGCCGUUCAGCAAGUGUUACUGAAUGUCAGUGGGUGCCAUUUUUUGCUCCUGAAGGAACUCAGUGACACACCUUUGAUCCAACCACACUUCCAUGUCAGAUGCCACUGUCAGACUGCCCCUCUGCUGCCAUCUGUCACACAGCAACAAAAUGUAAUGGAAUGUUGGUGGGAAGGUUCAACCUCUACUGCCAUACCACCACCAUCUGCCUCUGAUGUCAUGGGUCAACAUAAUAAAACAGGAGGCAUUAACUUUGGAGCAGCCCUCAUAGUAUGUUAUGAGAAGAGAAUAGAACAGCUACAGCCUUCAAAUUCUGAUGAUUAAAAUAUUGCAUAAAUCAAAUAAAGGCAUGUGUUUGAUUCCUGUUUCUAGUUACCCUGGCCAGUUACCCAAAUACUGCAUUAUUACCAGUGGAUCUCCUAUACUGCUAGGAAGGAAGGUGAAGUAAUGCCCCACUGUGUGGGCCAAAUAUAGCUCCUGCAUUUAGGGUGUUUGUCAGACUGUAGGUUGCAAAACAAGUGUGAGGGAUGUCUGUAUUAUGUCAGAUCUGGACAUCACAUCAUCAGAGCAUUUCAGCAUGCGUUUAAGUUCUUCUGAUGCAGCAGAAUGAAAGCUCCUCUAUCAGUUGAGUGCCUUGAGUCAUAACCCCUUCCUUUUGAACUCUUGGGGGCACAGGAAUAGAUGACAUUGCUCUGAGAAGCCUUGGUGCAAGAUUAGCUUCUCCUUGCAGGGUCUGUUGGUGCUGAGCCCUGCAGAGCCCUUCAGGAAUGGGUGCUGAACUUGUGGAGCAGUGCUGUACUGACAAUCAGAAUGCUCCCCUAAUGCUUUUAUCUAAUGUUUUUAUUGUUUUGCCUGUAUGUUGCUUAGGCCUUUGUUUUUCAUUUUCAGUCAGCUUUACUAUGGAUUACUAUAGCAAGAGCAGCAGCGCACUAGAUUUAAUUUAAUUUCUUUCUUUCAGGGAGGAGCAUGUGCAGCUAUCAGCCUGAGCUGCAGCUUGUAAGACAGUGUUACAAGGAGUCUGACCUUGGAAAAGUAUGUUCUUACGUCUCAUGUCUGAGAUUGAUGUUACUGAUAGGUAAUGAGCUGUGUGCUGCAUUUUCAAAGGAAUAACUCUCGAUGCAGAUAUUCACUUUAAAAAUGCCGCAUGUCACUCCUUUCACAGCUCACAGAGUUCAGAAAUAGAGAGGAGGUGUAAGGCUUGGAGAAGUGUAAUUAAAUUGUGAUUGUAUCCUCUUGUUGGAAGGAACACCAAGCUGUUAGCAAUUGAAAAUUAAUAUACCUUGCCAACUGUUUGCCCUGGAUGAAAGAGUUGGCAAUUGCGCUGUAGUUCUCAGUGACCAGGUAUCCCCAUGACACAUAUCAUGAUGACAGUGUAUACAAAUUGCCAAUAUAUUUUGGAUUCUCAGAGAAGAUGAAGCACAGCGAAAGAAUUUACUUUACUACAACACUACCGUUUGUCGUCUGUACUCAGCGUAGAUGAUAGAAGAUGUUGUUGAGGAAUUCUCAGCUGUUGCUCUCUUUUGAUCUUUUUGAACUGAUCUGUAAAGAGCUUCCUAGUUUUCAUAAUUGCUUAAUCAAUCUUGAUUAUAUUCCUGGACCACUCUUAUUUAUUCAAAAAAAUUGUUUUUGUAUGCCAUACAAGAUGUCUAUGAAACGUCAUUUCGCCUGAAGACACUACACUACUUUGUUGCUGGGCUAAUUAUUUACAGUCAUUUUGAAAACAAGGAGUCUUAUAAAAAAAAUAAAUCAGUUUCAUUACUGACUUCUGUUUGCUGAGCAGAGAUUGUAUCAUUGUAUUUUUCUCUGAAGAAAGCAUGCUUUAUUCAAACUUGACUUUUAUUAGCCUGUAGCAGCUAAGAAACAUUAAAAGCGCCGUUGAUGAAACUAAAAGAGCUGUUUCUUUAAAAGAAGAAAAAAAAAUGUAAGUAGGUCUGGAAGAGUAUUUAGAAGCAGAAAGAAGUUAAAAAAAAAAAAAAAAGAUUCAAUUAUUUGUAGAAAGCCUUUAGACUUAAGCAAGUCAAAUGCAUUUUAUGCUUUCAUCACAUGGACCCACAGCAGUAUAUCAUUUCAUAAACAGGUCCAGAGGUAAGCUUCUGAGUAACACGUAAUUCUGAUUUCAAGCCCUAUUAAGAGGAUUUGUAUCUGUAAUAUAAAAGUAGCUCUUUGAAGAAUCUUGAUGAAGAUCGUAUUGUAAUCUGUUCUAGGCAGAUUCAUAGAUUAACAAACAGCUUUGUUAUGGUGAUGGAUAACAGGCUCAGUAAGAUACACUAAGUCAGAAUAAUUCUAUCAGUAUAAAUAGAAACAGUAAAAGUACUUUAAGUGAACUAAAAAGCAGGAAUGUUUUUCUCCUAGUAGCGACUAGUUAGGUAUUUUUUCCUCAAGAAUAAUUGUGCUUAUAUUAAUUUAGAAUAAGAAACAUUGCCAAACCAUCUAUUGUAGUCUGAUACUUAGAUAUGCUGCCAGAAGUUCAUCAUUCAAAACAGCUUUUGGAACGUUCUUAAAUUUAGAAAGAGGGGCUUUCUUCUAUCUUUUCAGUUGUGAAUAGGCACAGGUGGGAAGGAGGCUCAAGUGGGAUUUGAGAUUUAUGAAGCCCGACUGCACAAGGCCAUUAAAAACUCAGUUGAUGUCACGAGUCAUGGUUGGACAAUUCAGUUACUGCCCAUGACCUUCCCCUACUAAUUUCAUCAGUUAUUUCUGCCCACAUUAGCAGAGAUUACAUCUCCAGCUAUAAAGGAAUGAUUACGUUUCCACAUCAUAUGGAAAAAAAUUGUGACAGAUGUCACAUUUUGGUACAUUCCAUAAGGAUCGGUGUCUAUACUUACAGAAUCAGGUGCAUAAAGUAAAAAGGAAAAUCUUUAUACCUAUUUAUACUAGAAAAUAAGUAAGUGUAUAAUUCUGGUGAUAUUUCAGUGUUACUACUAUUAUUUGUUUUAAGCGAUGCGUGCCAUUUUAUUUUACAAAACCCCGAAAAUGAGCGUCAGGUUUUAUGAAAGCAUUAUGUUUUGAAAUAUUUUCUUUCUUAAAUAAUUCUCCACUGUAAGUAAGGCGUAUAAUAAAUCGUGAUUUAUACUGAAGGCAAUUCUUUUUUAAGACAGUAUGAAGAAAAUGGCUUCUAUCGUUUGAAGCAACUAUUAGUUUUGCAUUUUCGUUUUGUGAUUGUUUCAGCUUUGCAUGAUGAUAAUGUUGAGACUCUUCCUUCACUACUGUCAAUAUCUUGGAAUGAUAUAUGAGGACACAUUAACUUUUCUUAAAUAAUUCCAGUAUUUUGCAGGUGGCCUUUGUGCAUUUACGCGAGUCCCUUGACUGCGUGUGGCAUCUGCCAUCUUCUGGAUUUUGUCGAAAUUGCUUGCUGCCUAAAUGAGCUUUAAAAUACUGGGAGUGUGGUUUCUUCAUCUAUGUAUCUAUUGCAGAAAAUGAGUACAGUUGAUGUCUACACACAGGCUAGCGUAUCAGGGGAAGUAGCCCUCAUUUCUUCACCUCAUUGUAGUGGUGUACAGUGCUUUUAUUUUUAUGGUCUGGUGAGGUCUUAAGCAGUAUUUCUGUGUCCUGCAUCAUUUUAACUAAUAGAUUUUUUUGCUGCAAAAUAGUUUUGCAUUUUGACUAGGCCAUGAAAAGCAACACAGGGGAUUAAAACAGUAAGCUACCAAAAUGAAUAAAUAAAUUAAAAAUUGAGAAACAUACACAGAGUUGUUUAAAUGGGAGAAAUGUACACAUUACGGAAGAAUCAGAGAUGUGGUAUGAAUGUUUUUGAAGCUAGUAAUUUCAAGCAGUUAAAUAGUCUUGAAAAAGUGCUCAGAUGUUCUGUGUGCCUGAUGACAUGAAGGGAAGUGAAGUUUGAGUUACUGACUCUAAAAAUGAGUUAUGACCCCUGUCAAGGCCCCGUAAUUUCAGUGCCCUUCAGUCCCUGUCACAAUUCCGUCUCACUUCUACAUGCAUUAAUGUGCAAUAACCUUUUCCAAAAUAGAAGUACUCCCAGGCUUGUACACUCUCCUUGGCUUCACAGUCCUCUCUUGCUGCUCAAGUCUUGCUACUUCCACUUUACAGCUCAGUCUGAAACCUAAAAAAUGACCAUAUGCUGCUUUGUUGGUUUAAAAUGGCAAGUAAGAAUGAUUUAAUAUGUGCAAGAAUACUUGAACCUGGUUUUAAAAUUAGGCUCCUGCUUAAUUACAGCUUGCAGUAGAAAAAUAAAAUUUUCCUGUACGGAACACCCUCAAUAUUUCACCUUAUGUAAAUGAUAUAUCUUGCUACUUCAGCCUUUUGCUUAUUUUUGUUUAUUAUUAUUAGCAGGUUUAAUUUGAUCUUUUGUCUGUUUUCCAUUAUGAGCUGUUUCCUUUAAUGAGAUUUGAGUUCUAAAUGGGAUUUUAGAUUUUAUGCAUGAAUUAUACACAAGCUUCAAGAUAACUGGAAGAUCAUUUUCUUUAGGUCUGAUGAUGCUAUAGGGAAGUCUGGAGGUUAUAGCAGAGCUUGCAUUUUGAUGUGACACAAGAGAAAUUUCAAGUAGAAAUGCAUGAAAAUGAUGUCAAAUCUCAAAUCUGUCCCUUCAGAUAUUCUUUCUGCACUUGCUGUUUCUCUUCAAGUAGUGCUCUCUGCAGGCUGUCAAAGUCCUCAUGGCAGCCAGCAAUUACUUCUUUUAACUCUUUUCCAAAAUAUGUUUUCCCUGGAGAAUGUCAGCUUCCAGUUCAGAAAGGCAAACUGCUUUUUUUCUCAAUUCCCUGAUGGCAACGUGCUGGCUGAUGAGCUGAAGGAUUUUUACACCCUAUUAGCUGCAAAAGAAGGAAAAAAACCUCUGCUCUUGAGAUUUGUCUAAGUGAACUCAGCUUAAUUUUUUUUUUUUUAAUGCAAAAUAGAAUCCUAAUGAAAGAGCAAGAGCCUUAAAGCCACACUAUGUGGGUCUCUGUUAGUAUAACCUUUUAAAGCCUCUAGAUAUACAUACUGAAUGAAGCAUGAGAUGGAAGGAAAAAGAUGAAAAAAUAGAAUAGUAGCUUUAAAAUGAUUGGUGUGUAAUUAGAGCAGAACAAGUAACUAAAUGAAAAGCCUCUCUCAGCAGUUCAUUUUAGGCCAUGGAGGCACUUGAGGAGGUUAUAAACUGAAUCAGUGAGAAAAUUAAGCAUUGUUCCAUGAACACAGAAUUGAAGUAAAUAUCAUAAGGCAAAACAGUAUUCAAGUCAGCUUACAAAGCCCAUCCUAGGCGAAAUACUCCCUUCAGUUUUCGCAACUUCAGAGAUGUGGUCCUAUAGAACUUCUCUCCUCAGUCUUUGUAUAGAUUCCUUAUGCUUUAAACCAACUAGAAUGUAAAACAUCCUCAGCCAAUUGAACAGAAAAGUCUGCAGCACAUCCCUUUUCUCUAACAUGCCAUUCAAUUAUGUGUCUGCUUCUCAAAUGCUACAGUUUGGUUGAACGUACAUUUCUCAGGAGGUACAGUUGUAUUCUUCAAUCAAAUGCAAAACAGUGUUCAUCCAAAGCAUUGUUAGCCAAGAGAUGCACAACCAUGAAAUGCAAACAAUUUAAAACACAGAAGUUAGGGGCAGAAACCAGCAAUAUGUCAAUUCCCAAACCACGUAAAUAGCCUUCUCAUCUCGGGGGGGGGGGGGGGGUGGUGAAGCAAUCACUCAGGGCUGUAUUUUGAAAUCUUCUGGAAUAGGAAAGCAACUUAAGAAAAAAAAAAAAUACACAUCCAAAACCUGUUCUCAGAGGAGUAGCCAGUAAAUAUAUUUUUAUAUGCAGUUAACUUACUUGCCAUUAACAUUUUUUAUGUACCACAUCAAAGCAAACAUAUGGAAUUAGGUUCGCUUUCAUGUUAUAUUUAAAUAGUAUUUGCUUUAAUGGGAAUGACUUUCCUCUUACCCUGUAAGAGUUAAAGGAGUUCAUUCUUGUCACUAUUUCAACUCUUUCUUCUGUGUUGCAAACAAAAAACUCAGUGACCAAAUGAGGUUUGAUUCAGAUCACAGUAUUACAUAAAGAUGUAUUUUCAACUAACUUCAGUGUGGUAAGCCUUUGCAAAAUAAGUCUUUCUUAUUAAAUGGCUUGAUGGAAGGGGCUGUUAUGAUUUUUUUUUUCUGUGGAAAUGGGCACUGGGAGUCUAAUUAAUGGUAAGACCUAGGACUAUACUAUUGCUGGACAAGCACAAGCAUGUGUUGCUGAAACUGACUGCUUAGUUUUGCUUAAUCUGACUUAGAGGCAGCAUUGGAGGAAUAGAUUGUGUCUGAUGUAGCUCAAAUAAAAGUAUCAAGGUAAUGUCAAUUAAAACAUAGGUAGUGAGUGUGGUACCUGCACAAUUAUCAGUUAUAUAAGCUUACACUUCAUUCACAGAAACGUGUUUCUUUACUGUGGAUUGACUAGAAUACUGGCUCUGUAAUGAAGAGCUUUAAAAUAAAGUGAGCAGAAGAACUGAUGCAGUCUCCUUAAAUAUUUUUAAUAAGUAGAAAGGUAACUAUCAGAUGAAGGAUCAGUAGUAGGUGUGACAACAAGUUGUAAAGAUAAAUAAAACAAACAUUUGUAAAUGAUCCAGAUAAGGAAAGGACCAUAGCGAACAUGGCCUGCAACACAGCUCAAGGGUUUUUACCUAAGUGUGAAAAAUUGGGGUGUGAAUUACUGUACACUUGGAAACUGGGUACUGUUGCAUUCACAGAUAUGUGGUUGAGGAAGUAAUAAUAGUGGCACAGAUACUGAAGUGUUCUGUAUGUACUGUGUUAUAACAAAGAGCGUAGAUAAAACAUUUUUAUUUGAAUCAAUAUCACUUUCAGGAAAGAGAUUAUAUUGAGAUAAUGCUGAGAUAGAGAUUUUAAUGUGGAAUGUGGUUUCUUUAAAUUUCAUCAAGAGAAAAUACUAGCCAGUAUAGAUGUCUUCAGUUACAAAUUUGAGAAGAAAUGUUACCAACAGUGGUAGAACACAAUUUUCUCAGAAAUGAAAGCAACAUUUUUUCAUUGAAGAGCAUAUAAACAACAAGAAGAAAUAUUAUAUAUAUAUAUAUUUAGUGACAGAAUUUUUUUUAGGAGAGCUGUUAGAAGAAAAGAUCCUUAGCUGAUGUGGUCACACAUUAUAGUCCACCCCAUCCCAAUUAAAAAAAUACAGAAAGUCUUUGUGCCUUAACUAGAUCAUUUGAUAGUUCUGAAUAGGACUUUUAGACAUGUAGAGAACUGAAAAUUGAGUAGGCAGCAAUGAAAGUCCAUUUUAAAAGUCAGGAAGUACAGUGAAAAAGAGAGCUUCCUAAAAUGAAGCUGAGUUCUUUAUUAGCACAAUAAGAAAAAGGAGAAAGAGAAAUUAUUGUAACAAGUAGCACAUAACAUGACUGUAACAUCAAGAUUAAAGGUAGAGUUGGAGUGACCUCAUACGUAAACAAAUGCUUGAGUCAGUAUUCAGUAAAGACGAUGAGAGGAGACCUUAUAGCUCUCUACAAGUCCUUGUAAAGAAGUUGUGGUGAGAUGAAGGUCAGCUUCUUCUUCCUAGUGACAGGACAAGAGGAAAUGAUCUCAAGUUGCGCCAGGGGAGAUGCAUGUUGGAUAUUAGGAAAAAAUUCUGCUCAGAAAGAGUGGUCAAGUGUUGGAAUAGGUUGCCUAGGGAAAUGGUGGAGUCACCGUCCCUACUGUUGUUUAGGGAAAGGCUAGAUGUGGUACUUAGGGACAUGGUGUAGUGGGCAAUAUUGGUGGUAGGUAAACAGUUGGACUGGAUGAUCUUAGAGGUAUUUUCCAACCGUAAUGUUUUUCUGGCUUUGUGAUUUUAUGAGCAUGGAGCCACAGGCUAGGUGACUAAAUAACUAGAAUGACUACAUAAAACAGAAAUUAGCUUAUCCAAGAGGCAAGAAGGACUGUAAUCUUAGUAAAUGAGGACUAUUUUUUUUUGAUCCUGGGGUACUGGAUACAGAGAAAAUGUAUCAGGGAAUAUGUAUGUGAUAAUGACUGUCAAGCCAUGACUUGAGUAUCAUGGAUAACAUUGGGGGAACAAAGAGUAGCAAGUGUUUUAUAAAUAUUUAAAGAAAAAAAUAAUCCAAGGAGCUACAGAACUUUUAAUGAUGGUUCAUGAUAUACUUUGGAAGAAAAAAUUUGGAGGUAAAUAAGUGAUGAGAUAAAAAAUGAUGUGGUAGUUUAUAAGUUACUGUCUUGACAAGACAGUUGUGCUUCUUGCAGAAGAAAAUAUAGUAGAUGACAAAAAUUCAUAGAAUCACAUAAUAGCUUGAGUUGGCCUGCUUGCAAGUCAUGAGACUGCCUCUUCUUUUAUUGCUCAUCUCAACAGUGCAUGCUCCCUAGCAGUCUCGUCUUCAGCAUUAGAGUAAGGCCUUUGGUUUUGGACACUCUCAUUUAUUAGGUUUAUUAUCCUUAAUCCCAAUUAACUUAUAUUUCUGCUAUAAUAAUUAGUAAAUUAACUUUCCUCCUCAGAUCAUUGUCACUGUUUUUCUCCUUAUUUACUAUUAUUCCUUUUCCUCUUCUGC
rnacentral:lncRNA from 1 species